GGGAGGUAUGAUAGUGAGAAGGGGCUGAGACAGUUUCAGAGCGAGCCAGAGGCAGAGAGGAGAGGAGGAGGAGGAGGAGGAGGCAGCAGCAGCAGCAGCGAAGGAGCAGCUCUCCUCUUGAGUCUCCAUCCCAGAGAAGAAGACGGGGAGGAAGAAGACGGGGCGAAGUCGACGGUCCUGCCCGCCCGCCUGGUGCAUCCUGAAGUUCAAUCCAAGAGGUCUGCUGUGAGGUAUGUUAAGUCUCUGUGUCUCCUUUGUGCCUCUCCUCUUUUCAUCCCUCUCAUCCUUUUAAUCAGGACUGUGAACCAGCAGCAGUCAGACGCCGGGGGUGUGAAAGUGUGUGUGCAAAGAUCCUGCCAAGUAUGAGGCUUUUUCAGCAGCAGGUUGCUCCCUCUCUCUCCCUCUCUCUCCCUCUCUCACUCUCGAUGUGUGUGCGCGCACGCUUGGAUGUGUGUACGAGUAGAUGGAGCAAAAUAGGGUCUUAUUUAUCAAAAUGUCAGCGCAGAUUUUGCUGAGAUGGGGCUUCUUUGACAUUUGAAGACUGAUAACAUUUCCGGCAAUCAGAUUCAUCGCCAGCAAAGUGUGACCUGAUGCUUAAAAGCAUACUGGGGGGAAAAAAGGGCAAAAACUUGGUGUUUUUGUUCUUUUCCCUCUGAUCUUUUACUCACAUUUUACAGAAUUCAGCAACCAGACCUUUAAAGACAUUUGUAUGUAUGCUCAGUUUACAGCAUUUUCUACUCCCAUGUUAAGUUUGACUUUUGUAAACACUCAUUUAUAGUUUCCAGAAAUGAAUCAUUUUUGAUGGUUUCCUACUCAGUUUACUUUAUAAAUAUGCUCUUCUGACCGUAUUACAGUAGUAGUAAAUGUGCUCCAUCUCUCACGAGGUGUUAGACCUUUCAGACACUUCUAGGAAAUGAUGAAUAAAUGCACUUUAUAAUGCAGCUGCACACACAAAUACAUCUGAAUGUGCCAAAAAAAAGAAGUGAAAAGCCUUUUUUAUGAACUCACCGGGCUCUGUGGCGAACAGACUGUUCCUCUGAUCAAAGUCCCCCCUGAGUAUCUGUCAACCACUCUCUUCAUUAGUGCCAUUAAGGACACUUUAAUGUUAUCAGGCUCAUCGGUGAUAUCGAUCUGCUAACCUGCUCCCAGGGGGGCAAUAGCCUAGACAAGCCAACCUAUAGUCUUAAUCCGUGGCUGUGCUCUUUACAUGCAGCAGGUAGUGUUUCAGAGCAGAGUGGAGAAUUAUUGAGUGGACUAGCGCAGGGACGGUCUUUGUGCAGAUGUCAUGAUGUCAUAGCGAGCGGCUGCGUGGUCGAAUAUGUCUUCAAAUUAGGAAAGAGGUGGACCAACCUAUUGUGAUGAUGAACUUAGAAUAAGACUGAGGAGUAGAGGUGAUUUGUGAAUUUACUGUGCUGACUGAAGUUGGCUUGUGGUACAGAGUAAAAAAAUGUAACUCUGUGGGCUUUAUAUGAAGAAUUUUACAGAAAAAUGUAAAUGUUAAGUGCAGCUGUAAUUUUUCAGGGUCGUUGUUGUAGAGCAGCAGUUGUGCUGUGGCGGGGUUACACGAUUUCAUCUCAUUUGGAUGCUUUUACCCAUUUUUCUGCACAGACUGUUGUUAGUUAGUUUUCUAUAAGAUUAUCAGACAUAAAAUGCUGAGAUUAGAGAAAUAAAUUUACAAGCAAGUCAUCGAUCAAAAUGUUCAUGAUUUCAGUUUGUAUUUCUGUUUCUGCUGCUGUUUUGUUCCAGCACAGUUCUCAGUGGUUUAUUAUAUCUGUCUUAUUAAAAAAGGAGCCUGAACAAAUGAUCUUUAUAAACUCAAAGCUUAAACAGUCUUUAUAUCCUUAUUUCUUUAGCUGGUAUGAUUUGCAUGAUACCUGUUGAUGAGCUGAGGCUUUAAAAGACGAUCCAUCCUCACAUCUUGAUCCAGAUGACGUAUGAUAGAAAUAUCUCGCAUGUCAUUUGACAGAUUUGUCUCAUUAUCAUGCGAAUUAUUCAUCUUUUGAUUGAGGAUUAUCACAUUGAGCCUUUUACAUUUUAAUUUGUAUUUCUGGGGCUGUGACUAAUCUUCAUUUUCAUCAUUCAUUUAACAGGCUGAUUAUUUUUCAGAUGAAUUGAUGAAUUUUUCAGUCUCUUAAAUAUGAUGUCAUGGUAAAGAAAGUCUAUUUUAGGGAUUGCAGAGCCUCAAAGAAAUUCAGCCCCCUUUAGGGAAAUCCUCAAAAUACAAGUAUUGAUGGUCUGAGGCUGGAAAACCACAAUUUUUUCAUUUUUAUUUUCCUGAUCCUGUAAAGUAACACAUAAUAAUGUUUAAAAUAAGCUGUACUCACAUUUUUAAGUAUCUCAUAAGUGAUAGACUAUCAAAUUGUUGUUGCUUUUCUUUGUUGUUGAAAAACUGAUGAAGUCACAUCGUGUUACAGCUCUGCUUCCUGCAUCACCUACUAUCAAGCUGUGAUAAUCCGGGUUCAGUUGCAGUUGUAGCAGAGUUGGGGUCAGACUGUACUCCCAGUAUUCCUACAGUAGAUGCAUGUAUUCAUGUGCCUGUGGGCAGCAUCUGUGUUUGUGUGGACCAGCGUGUGCAUGGCAAGGAAAGUAUAUGGAGAUCAAUGCAAGCAGCUGUUCCCUCUGCACUUCAAACACCGCUCUGUUGUUGGUGCAUCAACGCUCCGACAGGCCUCGCGCAAGGGGAUCAAAGGCUAAUGAGACAGCCAUCGCACAAACGCACCCGGCAGACCCAUGAAUAUUGAUACGGCUCGGGAGGGAGAGACAUGGAGGCAGGGUGUCUUUACUCACUCUAUAGCAGCAUGAUAAAUUAGAAAAGUGGGGGGUGGUGGUGUUAGGGGGACUUCAGAUCUUAAAAUAUCACCAGAGUGUGCGGAUAUGAGCUAAAGAAGCAGAUCUGAUCAGAGAUUUAUGCUGAACUUCGAAAUGUGUUGAAACAUCGAUGCUGUGUUACACGCUCACAUAAAGUUAGUUACAUCAACUUACAGUGCUGUGGGUCCAACAUAACACUGUCUCAACUCCUACAACAACUCCUACACUGAAAACUUAAGUACAGAAGUUUUGAAAAGGUCUGAUUCAUGAAUUUAUUCAGUUAUUAAUGUCAAACAAAAAAGAUUAAAGUCCCAAAUGUGGACAGUUGUUUAUCUGCAGCCUGCAGUACAAAUAAAAUGUUUUGCAAUUUGGUUUAAAAGUAUGUAUAUAUAUUUUUAAACAUUAAUAUCCCUAAAAGGUCAUAAUAGAUGGCUUGUAAAAGGAUCUUAUUUUCUUACUUGAGUAGCUUAGUGUAAAUGAUUUAUUGAAGGUUGAUCAGUCUCUAAUUCAAACCAAUGUUACUUUUAGCAAUUUUUACUGGUUCUGUCGUAUUCUCAGCCUUAGGACAAAAAUGUUGUGUAGUCUCAGCUUUAUUUCUCUUGGUUUUUGUCACAUUUCAGUUUUGGUCAAUACAAAGUUAUUACAUUUCAGUCAUUUCUUCCUGUUAAAUCGUUUUCUCUGUUUUUUCAAAUUUAUUUUGCCAAUCGGACACUGGUAUCGCAGUUGCACAAAUGUUAAAACCUGCAGCAUUUCCCUCUCUGAACACUCUAGCUUGAAGCAACUCUGGAUUCAUUACCUUAGUUGCAUAAUGAAGCCUGAAGAAUCUCACAUUGCGCAAAGCUGUUGAGCCGUUCUGCUUAAAUAAAGGAAAAUGCAUCGCAUACAGGUAAAAGUGGUAACAUAGAGGAGUGACACUGACUCAGUUAGGGAAAAAAAACUUCGUCUCUGACCACUAAAGCUUUCUUGGACUUCAAAUAAAUGUGUUUGAUGAUUUAGAGUUAGUCAACACUUUGAAAUGUCACACUAAAUAUGUUCCCUUACAUAUCAACACACGAGGAUAAAUCAACACCAGAGCUCAAAAAGUAAUAAAAAAAAAAAACUUUUCAAGUUUAAGAUACAUUAAGGCGGUGUGAGUUGGUACUCAUGGUUCAAGAAAAUGAACACCUCCUCCUUUCAGCCAUUUCAGCCAGAAGACAUUGAAUGUACAAUGACAUCAUUAACAACAGAGAUUUCCAAUAUCUAACGGUCCGCCAAUGACAUUUCAGAUUUGUCUGAAACUACAACAUUUUGGCUUUAUUGGGUCUGACAGCAUAAAAGAGAAGAGAGCGGGGAUCGACGUGCAGUAAAUGGUCACAGCAAGGAGUUGUAGCAAGGAGAACUAGCCUCUUUUUUAAGGGCCGUGUGCUAGGUCAAUGGGUCCAUCAACAUUUUUUCAUAAAUCCCAUUUAAACGCAGAGCCUGGCCCACUUGAGGGAAAAAAUGUACCUGUACCAUUUUGACGCCCAAAAGAAGUUUGAAUUUCAUCUUCAAAUGCUUGAAUUUUAAGUGAUUACUCUACGUUCAACACACAAAAAUAAAAAUACAAAUCACAGAAGUGCUAGGCAAAAUAACCAAUCCAAUGCUGGUUGUUACCCAUAACUGAUACAAGACUUUUAUCAUACCAUAAAGAAAUUGCUUGAAGAUGAUAUUAAAAUCCUCUUUUUGCCCUUAAAUCCAUUUUCUGUCUUUUAACGGAAUAAUGAUUUAGAGAAGAGGAAAAAAAUCCAUAUUUUCAUGGGCAACUUUUACAAACACGUUUCAGCAGUCACUCCUCCAGUCAGUAAUGAUUCUGUGCCGACAGAACAAACCUAGUUCAACGUUUGUUUUCUUCACUGAAACACAAUCCUCAGUGUCUUAGAUCACCGCAGGGUGCGUCCUCCAAGAAAAAUACCCUGUGUCUCUUUCCUUUUGGUGGUUUCAUUGAAAAGUUUACCGCCUGAACGUCAUCAGUCUGUUCUCACGCUGGUUGAUGGGGACAUGACGUUAGAAUUAAUUCCUUGUCUUGCAUUAUCCAUCUAAACAUCAGCGCCCUUUGGCUAAGUUUGUGAAAAACAGCUAAAUAAGCCAAAAGUGACAUUCAGGAUUUCACCAUCCAGGAGAUCCAACUGAAGGGAGAGAACACAAUGAAAUGUUUCUCUUGGUGGUAUGUCAUCUCAGACCAUUCCUGCUGUCAACAGGCAGGCAAAUAGACGGUAGAAGGAGCAGGAGCACAUCGGCAGGCAGGCAGGGAGAGGGAGACGAAUGCUUCAGGAAGGCCGUCUCCAGCGCGUGGGCGACCGUGCCUCUGUCUUGACUUGGGCUCGUAAAUCAAGCCUCCCCUCCGGGGCCUAUCUUCCAUCCUCAGACCUUCACAACAGCUUGUUCUGCAGCCUGUGACGAGAGGGGCUGUUGUCAUAGGAGCUAUCGAUCGUGUGGGAUGAGUUUGUCGGACCGGGGGAUUUCACCCAUCUGAGCGUGGUCACUGAAGUGUCCCAUCUUGUCUCGGUGUCUGUCUGCAGGCUACAUGUUCUGUCGAAUGCCAAGUCCCUACCAGCUGCUGUCAGCUCCGUAUAUCACACAGUUUCUUCCCACAAAAGGAGGGAAAAGAACAGGGUUUCCAAAAAGUGUUGAUAAAACUUAAAGAAGUGAUGCCGCUGUUUGGAUGCUAAAAUAUUUAUGUUUUUUUUCUCUGGAUCUUUGCAAAUUUGAUGAUUUGUGCCUUUUUAGAAGUGCGACUAUAUUGGCAGCUCAUACCGGGUGUUUCCUUUCAUCCAGUGCAUGCUGGGAUUGGUUCCAGACCCAGUUGGCGCCAAACUGAGAUAAAAUGCAUGAAAUGUUGAACAUUUAAAGGAACAGUUUGGAGAAAAUUCCAGAGGAGAAGAUGGAUGCCACAGCCUUUUCUAAAGAAGCUGCUGCCAGGAGCUGGUUAGCAAAAUUCAGGCAUACAUUUAAACGUACAUGUAAUCGGGAGGGCUUAUAUGUUAACAUCUUAAAUGUUUCAUAAUCAAAAGAAAACCAAUUUUUUAACUGGAGGGCAAUAUGCUGGACUUCAUGUUUGGCAUGACUUUAGCGGGUUGUAAGGGCUGAUGAUGAACAAUCACUAGUUCAGCGUUGUUCACACUUCAUCUGCUUGUUAGCGAGAGUUGAAGAAUCUCGACUCCAGCGAAUUACUCACUCCACCAUAGCCAAUCAGCAUGGAGAUCCUUUGGUGUCCAUAAAUAAAUCAUUGGAGAUUCAUUCAUCUGGAAAACAGAGAGCAGACUGAUCAGCUACCUUGAGCUGUCCAGUGCGACUUGUUUUUUCUCAGAAUAUUUCUUCAGUUCUCCUAGAUUUUGAACAAACCAUUGACUCAUUUAUUGGGUUGAUUCUAUUUCCACAGAGCUACAUCACAGUCGGGUUAAGUAGAGUAAUUUUGACAUCUGUUAUUGUGACACAAUAGAAAUAAAUGACUUAGCCCCCCACGCUAUAUCUGUGUCAACAGGUGCAUUAAUGUCAUUUAGUAUUACGCACAAUAGAACGUAUGCAGAUGAGUAAUAGAUUAUGCUCAGGUGCUGGUGAAUGUGUUUGCAGAAAUAGUUCACGCUAUAAUGAAGAUUUUAUACCUUUUAUUGGAGAGUUGAAGGGAGACGUGGGAAGGAGAGGGUGUGGAAGACCUGGAGUAAAUGUUCAUGGUUGGGAGUUAAACCAGUGUCCACUGUAAUGAAGACUACAGUCCCUUAAACUACAGUAACACCCCUGGAAGCAGAUUCAACUAAACUAAACUUGAUCUGUGUUUGGAAAUUAGUUUUACUUUUUUUGGACAUUAUGUAUGUCCAAAGCUCACGCAUGGACAGGCUGAUAAUAUCUUUUAAUGAGCUCCUGGAUGAGGAAAUAAAUUCAAAUCAAAUCAAAUGCAAAUUUAAUUUCAGGAUAGUGGCUCUAAAAACAAAGUUUAACCCUGCACAGUAAUGGAUUUCCAAUAUUAUUCUCCCCAAAGUCAGACUACUUAAAAAACCAAGGCUCUAAAUUAUUCACCAGCGCUCGCUCCACCCUUUAAAAGCCAAUUAGGUGAACACUUCAUGGAAAUCAGGGACAGCAUUUGAUCUCCUGAUGUCAUUUUCAAUUCAAGAGGGGAAUAAAUUACACAAAUUUGACAGCUCCAAAAUUAAAGACCCCAUCCAUCUGACACUCCUGUCAGGUGAAUACUUAACAAGCUAAAACCUGCAAUUAUGUGAAUUUAUUUUUUCAUUUAUUUUUCAUGCCUUUGGGGUGAUUUUAUGCAUGCAUACACAUAUUCUCACCCUUCUUUAAUUUUCAUGUAGUCACAGUGAGAUGCAACGCAGCUUUAAAUGCCGCUUUAUGGUGUGAAAAGAUUUACUUAAAUUAUAAGAGAGAAAAAUUAAGAUUCAGGUUUAAAUAUUCAACCGAAAGUUAAUUUACAUCAAAGUUAAUUUAAAUUACAUCACAGCUGCGAUUCCUGUGAUCACAAAGAGGCAGUAAGAGAGAAAAAAUUAGAACGGAGAUGAAUUACAUUUCUCCACUCUCAGACGUGCAUGCAGAUGGAAAACAUAUUGAAAAUGAUAAUAGCGGUAAUAUUGCGCCACCAUGUCACCAGUGCCUCCACACUCUUUGUCCUCAGGCGGUUUCACAGCGUUUCUUCAUCUUGUUUCCUCACCCCGAAAGCCUGGUUUGUGAAACUCCACAGAAGAGCACUCCCACUCAACCUCCCAGCCUGCUGAGAGCACUUGAAAGCAAUUUUCUUUUAAUCAAGUUCACUAUAAAGGCCCCUCUGAUGCCAACCUCAGCAACACUACCAUUUUGUUUUAUUUUUUUCCAGCUCCGACUCUCUCUACAUUAUAUUGAUUUCUUCAUGAGCGCUAUGAAAUACUGUUUGCAGACAUAAUGAGAAUUUUCUUUCAGUUUAUUGCUCUUGCAGGACGGAUACAGAUAUGAGCACUCUUCAGAGCAGAUCUCACUUUUUGAAUAUCGGCUGUACGUCAAACAUUUUGAAACAUCUGCAUUUACUGCAGGACAAGUAAUGUUUUAAAGCAAUGAGCCCAAAAUGAACAUGGCUUUGUGCAUUUCUCACCCAUUUAUAUUCAGAUCUUUGCUUGGGGAGUAAGAGUGCCGACACAUGAACAAAAUACAGCAAGAGUCCACCAUCCAAAAAUCUAGGCUGCAGAUGUUUACGCAUCAUUUAAGCUUAUAUCAACAUCUUAACAUACAGUUUUUCUAAGAGAGUAAGAAAAUAGUCCAACCACAACCCGGGCCAACUUUUCAAACUGCCUGAUUUGUCUAAAAGUCAGGGCAUCUCUGGUUCGCAUCACAGACCGAUUUGCUCCUUUGUUUAGAAAUGACCUCAGGUUUGGUGUGUGACAUUCACACGCAGCCCUAAAUGUCUGAAGACACCCUCAUAUCAGUCUAUCAUUCUUUUGAUUUAUGAGCCUAGAUACAGAUAAACACAAACGAAAUUGUACAUUUAUUUUUUUUGGAGAUUUAUUUUUUAGCUUUUUGACCUUUCAUUAGAGAGGACAGGACAGAAAGGACAAAGCAAUCUAAGGAAUCGAUUAGGCGUGCUAAGACCCUUUGGUCAGAGGUGCCCCUAUAAUAAAUAAUUUUGACCCUGAAUUGGAUAAAUCUUAAAUAUUAAAGGAUUAACAUGGAAGCACCACAGUAACUUUGAUUCAAAAGUAACCAAAUACUUACAGCAAUUGGCCAAUAAUGAUUGUUUAAGUUUAUUUGAUUUGCUUUCAAUAAAUAGUUUGCUGAUUGUUUGAUAAAAAAAACUUGUAAUACCAAUUUAUGGUCUUUAAUUUUGCACUUAGAAACAACCGUAAAUCUGUUCAGUUUUCUCCCAUUUCUACUGACAAUCAGAACAAACAACAGCUGAAUCUGGUGAGGCGGAAACUUUAUAGUAAUUAUACAUAACCAAACAGUUUAAACCAACGUGACGAUGUGACGACAUCCCAGUAGUAGAGCGUUAUAUCAUUAUUGGACUGGUCAACUGUACAUGCACAUCCACGAUGUAAAUUUCCAAUCUAUUUUACAUAGUUGAAGUUAUAGCUGUUGGAAAAUUGUGAAAAAGUAAAUGUGUACAAUGAUAAAACCCUCAUAAAUGCUGUAGAGUUUAGAAAAGCUCAUUUUUAGAGAUACACAAAUAAAGAACUCAAAGCUGUACUUGUAAAAGCUCUUGAGUCCGUUUAACAGCACCUCUUAAACCCUGCUUUUCUGCAGACAGGUGUUUGGGUUUUUUAUCAGCUCAGUAUGAGCUCACCCCCUGCACUGAUAUCUAUUCCCAUCUCUGUCCUCAGGCUAUGGAGUUUCUGCUGUAUCAUAUUAAUGAAGGACAUAUUUUAUAACCACUUAAUAGUCAGCGACCUUGGUGUGAUGCUCCAAAGUGGAACUGACUGUUGCUCUGCUGCAUUUUUAAUUCAGGGAGUGUUUAAACAAGAUCACCUUGUUUGAUAGUUUGUGACUGCAGACAUGUACUUUAGCCAACAACAAUGCAGUGAGUCAUUAGGAAACAUGACAAAGGCUCAUAAAUGUGCAAUUAAUUUAGACGUUAGAUGAACAGGAUGCAGGUCAAUGACACGCUGUUGAAGUCAUUUUAAUCAGGUAUGAUGCUCGUGCCGUUUUGGCCAGUCAGCAACACGAUCCAUCAUACCUCAGAGCAGAACUAUGCUUAACCUUUUUUACCUUAAACCCACAGAGGUUAACUGUGGUAGUUUGUCCUUAUCUAUAAUGAACAGCUGGUUUAAACACAUUUAAAGCUCUUGUGAGGAGCUUUUUAACAUUGCAGAAAUAGAAUUGCAGAAUUGCUUUUCUGCUAUUUAAGGUUUGCUGUGUAAAUCAAAGAGAGUUUUUCAUUCACAGUCAUGUCACAGAAAGAAAACCUGGAUCUAUAAUCAAAAAAACAUUCAAGGGAGCUUGUGAACUAAAAUGUGCAGAUUAUACACUUUCAGCAAAACUUGUCAAAUUACUCAGUUAUUUUAUUCGUAUAAAAAUUGCUAGUCUAUGAGUCAUUUGACAGAAAUGUACAGUCAAAUUUAGGAACUUCAGGUUUGUGUCGGUUUUGGCACCUUCUGUGGAAAAGCAUUUUGACUAAUCAGUAAAAGUCAGUCUAUUUUAUGAAUGUCAAAUAACUCCUCACAGGAACUUCAAAUCCCUCAUAAUCUUUAACUAUUGAAAACUUGUUUGAGCAUACGUAAAUGAAUAAAUGUCUGCUCAAACUGUAAAGGUUGUCUCCUUGAACUCAUGUAACAGAAAACCAGCCUGAUGAAGAUUUCACCAUCAGGCUGAUCACACGUCAUGGUUAACUCUAGCUCCAAAUGUUUCACUGUUUUAUACCUCAAACUUCUUGCUUUCAGGUCAAGAGGGCGUGUUGCUCUGUGAGGUCUGCUGGCUCCGACUGAACCCCGAAAACCUUCCCGAAGACUGAUCACAGAGGUGAGCCUCACUUUUCUUACUCUCUCCUGUCUAACAUUAACAACAAAGAUCCUUGAAAUGAUGGAUGCCGUGCUCACAGAGGAGAACAGCCAUUAUCGCAAGACAAGUUCCCUCAGUGUGUAUUUUAGUGUUUUAUGACAGCAGUGCUCUGGUCAUAGUUUGAAGAUUUCAACUUACUUGAUCUACAGUUAAAAAAAAAAAAGAAGAGUGAUGUUUAAAAGUUGUAAUCCUCAAAGAUUCCCGUCCUGGUUGAUUUGUAGAGAGUAAAUCUGGUUUAACAUGACAUCAGUUACCAUAAGUGUUGAGCAUCUACUUAAAGCAAAAGAGCAGCUGGUGUGUCUGUUAACAGCACUGCCAGAGAAACUCAUGUGGUUUUGAUAAAGAGGUCAGUCAAUAAAAGCUGUGACCACAAUCUGAUUUCAUGCUGCAUGCUGUGAGUGUGGUUUUUCAACACACCAGCAGGACGCAAAGAAUCUGGUUACCGUGAUGAGGAGUCAGAAAUGAAUCAGCUCGCUGUGGCAGCUCUUUUUUGUUUCAACACUCCUCUAAAUAAAAUAUGACCUGACUUUCAGACAGACAGAAAUGCUGAAAACAACCAUUAGCUACUGAAACUACUGAGAAAAGUCUCACAUUUAGUUAUUUUUGAUCCAUGGAGGUGUCCUAUUCCAAUUGAAUUCACUUAAGACUUAUUACAGGCUUAAGCUCCUCAGUAUGCACCGAACUUUGCUCAGUGAUUGUUAUAACUUGAAUUUAUAAAGGACCUCUCAACCCAAGUACUCUAAACAAAUGAGGUGAAAAGAAAUAAUGAAAAUGGUGGUUGCCAGAUUGGAGAGUUUAUAGUCUGCAGGCCUUGUUGAAUAGGUGGUUUUUCAGCUCAAGGCGGCUAAGUCCCAAUAAUUGAAAACCUGUGGACCAAACAGAAACAUUAAACUGUAGACAGACGGAGUAACAAAACUUACACAGCAUUUUCAGUGGCAUGAACUCCUUGAGAAGUGGAGCUAAAAACUUUAUUAAAGUAUGCAGAAAGCAAGUUACUUCAAUAAAAUGAAAUAGGCACAAUCUUCUAGUCCAAUAUACACAGCUCCAUGUACCGUUGUGAAGUAUAUUUACAAAGAUAUUGUUUCUUAUGACUAAUUCAUAAGAAAAGACAUCGUUUAUUCUGCCAGUUUUGGUAUAUGUCGUUUUGGGUUAAAGGGGGUCUUUUUCAUGCUGCUACGUAAGGGAUAAUGUAAGAUGAGUGCGUGGAUCUUCACAUUACAAUCCUGGAGGGAAUCAAAUUUGGAUAACCACCUGUUCACAAUACAUUAUUUUACAUGUCACCCUGUUAUCUACUAAAGCUUCAAACAAGUAGUUUUCUUUCAAGUCUCCUUGAGAUGAUCAUCCUCAUGUAGAUCCAUAUUUACAUUUCUGUUCCCCUUAUGCUUUCUUCCCUUAGGGGCUUUGCAGUUUGCACACCUUUGAACAUGAAUGUCAAAAAAUAAGCAACUUUCAAUGUUUUAAUGUUGUAAGACAGGGCUUCGUCCCAGUAUAUUUCAGAGAUCCUUAGGGCUCUGUAGCUACUCACACUGCUCUCAGAUCUGGUCAUCAACAGGCAAAAUGUGAAAUUUGCUUUUUUACCAAUCAGAACCGAGUACCCAGCGCAGCAGGUUAUUAAUGAGAAAUAGGACUGUGUGUAGAGUGAAAAACUGAAAACUACCUAUUAAGUGAGCCCUAGGUGUCUACUGUGAGAGCUCCACCUUUUAUAUAAGCAUUCAUCUUGGCAGCUAAUUUAGACUUAGUCUGAGUCAUUGGACUAAAAUGCAUUUUAGAGUUGAUUACAUUUAGUCGUUUGUUUUCUGAUAUAAAAGUCAAAACAUUUUAGUCUAGUUAAGUCAGUAAAAAUUCCAAACACUUAAGUCUAGUUUGAGUCUGUAAAAGUCUAAACAUUUUAGUCUAGAUUUGGUCAACAAAAAGUUAAAACAUUGUUGUCCAAUUUUAGUCUGCAAAAAGUCAAAACAUAUUAAUGUAACUGACAAAUAGUUAAACAUUGCUGUCUAGUUUGGUCACAGAGUCAAAAUAUCGAAAAAAAUCGAAAAAUCGAAACAUUGUAGUCUACUUAAGCUGGUAAAAACGCAUCAGUCCAGAUUAGGCCAACAAAAAAAAUCAAAACAAGUUAGUUCUGUAUAGUCUAUAGUCAUAGUUUGUACUUAUAGUCCAAACCUUUUCUGUCUUUUGGUCUCUAAGUUUUCUUAAACUUGGAGAAAAUGAAGUUUGGACACAGAGCUGUGGUUAUAUGGUUAUAACGAACAUUUAUCGCCAUUAUUUUCAAAAUUUAAAAUGCUCUGUAUAUGAGGAGUACAAUUAAACCACCAAGCUUAACUGUUAGUCCAUAAAUUAGUCCAUAAAUUAGUUUGAUUUUAACUCAACUAUGACACAAAGAUGAGACAGUGAGUAUUGAAACAGUUUGACUAUCUUUAUUGGUAACACUGGAUUUGCAUUUUGGACUGUAUAUCAGAUGAACAUGGGUGAUAUGAGACAAUAAGACAUUUCUGACUGAACUUUUAAGAAUGGACAGUGGUUAAAAUAGAGAAAAUGACAUCAACAGGUUUUGAGUUUCAUGAUCAGCACUGUUAAAUUUCUAUCUAAUGGUUUUCUGAACUGUUUUAGGGAAAUCUCAUGACAUAUGAAUUCCCUGGCAAAAGUACAUCGACCAAGUUUCAAAGGUCAAGACAGAGAGAUUGGCAAUCAAUACUCCAGAAGUAAAAUCCUCAUAUAAGACUUAGCUUGGACUUUUUCUAUGAAUUUUAAAGUGGUACACAUGCUUCGCUUUCAUUCCCCUGCUGCUGCAUUGAUCCCCAGGAGGAAAAAAAAAACUUGAGUGCACUGCGCACACAGGAUUGAAAGCAGAGACAGCAAAGUGACUUCUGUCUGCCGAGGCUUCACAGACUGCAGCUAUAAUGAGCAUUUCAACAGGGCUACAUGUGGUCUUAACAAGCAAAGUACAAAAUGCAACUUAAACAAAAAGCAUGAACAAAAUGAUGACAUGGCUUUAACACGAACCGCAGAGAAAACUUGACAUGUUGAAUUCGGAAAAGAGAGGGUCAAAACUGCCUGCACCAUUGCUGAACAGUAUAUAAUCUUUUAAUCAGGAGGUAAAAGGAGCUUAAACGGCACUUUUGUCACAUAUAUCAUAAGCAGAAAUGACUCCCCACUGGCAGCCUAAAAGGUUUUAAUGAAUUUCAAAUCUUACCCCUUCAAAUUGGUUGGAGAAAAUGGAACUCAACCAAUAAAAAUGAGAGAUGAAUAUAGUCCUAAAAUGACUUUAUACUUGAUAAUAAAGUGCAAACACUCUUUCGUCUAGACUUCAGGAAGAUUUAAGUAACAUAAAAAAAGCUUUCUCCUCUUUAAGAUUUUUCCAUUUUCUUUGGCUCACUUUAUUCUGGGGUAAAAUCUGCAGAGCUGCAAAAAUAAGCUCUGCACACUGGCUUUGUUACCUGCUCUAUCUGCCUGCAUCUACCUGCGGUAAUGAUGAUAUCCAAAGCUUCAAGUUGUGCAGAAUAAUGCAGAGCUGUGCAAAGUUCACCUUCCAAUCCGUGUUAAUGAGAUGACUCCUGGGUCCACGUGUAGCAGUUUAAUUUACACAAACCUGCAAACCUGCUGCGUGGAGCCGAUAAAUGCAAUCACAGUGUGCAUUCAGGCAGCAUAUCUAUCUGCAGAGGCUCGGUGUAAAGGUCUAUGAGUGUCCAGCAGUGCACAGAGCCACAGCCCCGAGGUAGUUACACAGAGAAAGGAUGAUGUAAGUGGAAGAGAGUAUUUGCAUUACAUGGUAUCACCUUAAAUUCUGCGUUUUGUCACCGUUUUAAUGAUGGCACCCUCACUUAGCUCGGGUUGCCUCGUAUCAGCGCUGACCCUCGUGGGCUGAGUUCUGGGGACACCUUCCAAUCUGUGUUAAUGAGAUGACUCCUCUCUGUCUACGGGUCACGGUGAUAUUUACAGAAAGCGUUGUAGCGGCAGAGAUCCACGCCUCCCCGUGGCGCUCCCUCUCCUCAUUUGCAUAGCUUUCAGACUUCCUUUCUCUCGCUCUCCCUCUUCCAGCGCUCUUGCUGCGCUCCUCCAUGAUCGACAGGCUCCUUCGCACUUCUCUUCAGUUUGUGUCGCACAUGUUAAUUAAAGCCUCUAAUUAGCUUUCCCCACUAAAAGGCCGCAUUAAAUCAGAGUUGGAAUGGCAAAUGAUUCCUGGCAUUAGCAUAAUUGUGUUUUUGAAGUGUAAAGAUUCGGGCAUUAAGGAUGCUAGCACGCGUUUUUGUUUCAGUGAUUUGUUGUGUUUGGGGCUCGAUGCCCAGGGGGCUACUGGAGGUUGGCUGUUCGGGUUUGAGGUGCCCCGGGACCCUACAGGGGCCACACACUAAUGAGGCCUGCUCCUCUCUGAUGGAGCAGAUACAGGAAAAACAAACCUGUGAUGUGGUACCCUCAGGUGGUCCUAAGAGCCAAGCAGAGCGGAACAGGACACUGCUGGAAUGUGUGUGUGUGUGUGUGUGUGUGUGUGUGUGUGUGUGUGUGUGUGUGUGUGUGUGUGUGUGUGUGUGUGUGUGUGUGUGUGUGUGUGUGUGUGUGUGUGUGUGUGUGUGUGUGUGUGUGUCUGUGUGUGUGGAGAGUGAGAUGAGGCAGACAAAAAAGAGAUAAAGUCAUUACUACUUUAAUUAUCAUUAUCAGUGAUUGGUGUUUCACCCUGUGUGGAAAACACUUCAUGGGUGGAAAAGUCAACAAUCUAGCUCCUUAUUUUACGGUAUUUACGAGGAAAUAAAUCACGCUAUUUGUUCAGCUUCAAAACAGGCAAAAAUUGUUGACUGUAUAUUUCCUCAUGGUUAAAUAUUGAUAUCUUAUUUUUUUUAUCAGUGGUGUAUUUGGCUGUCAGGGCACAACAAUUGGAUAUCCAGUGAAAGGACCAGUCUGAUUCAGUUUAUCAAAAACGUUGAAUCACUGAGCCAGUGAUGUAUUUUUACCCAUGUGUAAAAAAAAAAAAAGAAAAAUAGUCCAUAAAAAAUGGUCAAUUUUGGUAAAGUAAGGAAAGAAAACAGGAAAAUAAGGAAUCUCUGAUUAAAUGGAUUUAAAUAAGUCCAGAUAAGACUUGGAUAAAGAGGAGGAGAACUUCUUUCUAUUAUAUCCAGAUUGUUUCUAUGUACAGUUAAGUUAAGGUACAGCUUAAUUGGACUGUCUGAGUUUACAAGCACUAGGUGAGAGUUGGUUUUUUGGCAAAAAUAUGCUUUAAGGGCUAUAGUCCCCCAGUUUGUCUGGAGACCAGUGGACCUUCCCUUGGUUGACCAGUUAUACCACAUACAAAAAUAAGUGACAAACAGUUUAGUCUGAGGUUAACUGGUCGUAUGUUGGAAACACAGACACCUUCAUGGUUCUGUGUCUUUUGUAUGCAAAAAACCCAACAUGCAAACUGUGAAGCAUGUACAGACAACAGAAAACCAAUCCCCAUCAGUAUCUCCACCAGAUUAGCACAUUAACAUGUACCUUAAAAGUCCAGUUGUAGUUGAUUAUUUAUUGAACUUUGUAGGCCAGUUUGCAGGUGGAGUUUCAAAUAUUUUUGGCUUCACUGUUGGGGAGCUGUCAUGUUGCCUAUCAUGUUAUACUCCUGUUAUUGAUACAAACUGUAGCACUACUGUAGAGGGUUUUAAAAGUAUGCGUUUAACUGCACUGGCAAAGUAUUAUUGUGCCAUAUUUGCAGCUUUGGUCAGAGCACCACUCACUGUUCAAACCCACAGAGAUUUUCUGUGUAUCUUCUUAAAAUUCUAGUUCCUAAAACCAUGUUUGGUUCCAUCAACUCCUUUGAGACCUCUCCUUGAAAAAAGUGGUUAUUUUAGAAUCCAUUUUCUCGUCAGCGUUUGAGUCCGCACAGGGACACUCAUGCCUGGUUCAUGUCUUCUCUUACACCUGGAUUUAAUAGCGGUUGGUAUAGCGCACAUCCUCCACUAUCAAACAUGACUGAAGCUGCUGGUAUCCAACCAAUAGCGCCGCAGGGUAGUGGUACUUUUCAAGAGCUUCCUCUGGGCAAAAACUUCCUCACUGACUUGUGUGGCUAAAUUAUUCAGGGUGAGCUCGUCAGCCCAAAGGCACAGCAGUGGAACAGUGACAGUUUGGGGGUUGUGUGAUAGCUGCGAGUCUUGUCAUAUGAGUUAUUAUAGAACCAAGAAGAUAUACCACAAUGUUGCAGAUUCCUCGCUCCAGCCUUGAAUCUGCUCCAGGCAUGAAAACCCAUUAAGAUGCAGUGGAAAGAGGAGGCAGGGAGAGAGUUGAGGAAAUGAUGUAAAGAGGAGGGAGAGUCUGCAGACAGAAUUAUCAGCACUUCUGCACGAGGCUACUUUUAAUUUGAGGAAUUCUAAUUAAAUGGUUUUUGUGUCAGCAGUCAAAUCACUUCUGUUUCUUUAAAAGACUACGGCUGAUUACAUAAGGACAUGCUGCCAUGUUCCUACGAUGACAGAUUUAAUUAUGUGGAAUGAUUUUUUUUUUAACCACACAAAAGUGCAGCGAGCGGUAAUGUGUGUUUUAACAUAUGAGAGGGAGAGAGAGAUGGAGGAAGAAAAACACAAAAGAACUAGAGAAAGAAAGAGAAGAGUGGGAGAAAUAUGGAGACUGCAAGCAGCGCCAGACGCUGUGUGGAAGCCUAACAUUCAUUAUGUCUGUUUCAAUGUUGCUGGUAGUCAGAACGCAGUUGGAGAUCUCAGCCAGUCAGCAGAGAAUCCAAGGGCACUGCCAGAGGCUUGAUUUACACAACAAAAACACAUUUCACCGUAUGUGACCUGGACGAGACUUUUUCUCACUGUUUGUCAAAGUUUUGCCAAGUUUCUCAGCUCCUGCAGCCAAAAGAGAAAUGUUUUUCUGCAGUGCGAGCUGCGAUUGUUGGCCGCUGAACUCUUGUGUUUUCCGCUCGAUGCAUCUGGGCUGAUUAAUGAUCUUGCUCGUGAUGUCAACAAGUGUACGGAUAAGAGCUGGAGAUGAAGCUGGGUCUGAAGUUAACUUUUAAAAAUAAGUGCUUCUGUUUAGUGUUGUACAAAACAGGAAAUUUCUGCAAGUUUAACCAAGCAGUUGCUAUUUUUAAACACGAGUAAUAUACCACUGUGGUAUAAAGACUUGACCACAUUUGGUUGGCAGAGCACAUGCCAUGUUACUACUACAAAUGCUUAUUGAACUGUUUCCCCCCUCUUGGACGCUUUUGUAAAAUGAAUUUUAAACGUACCCCUCUAGCCUUGACAGUUAUGCGUUAUACACUUAAAGAUUAAUGAUGUGGAGGAAAGAAUAUUCAAAAUUUUGCUUUAUGACCCAUCAUGCUCUAAUAGAUUUUAGCUUUUAAGCCUGUUUUCACAGCUGUUAGUGCAGGUUCAUACAAAAUUAAAUUUACCAGCAGACUCAAAAUAAUGUUGUUUUUUUUCUUUUUUAAAGCAAAGUAGCUUUGUGAGGUUUUGCAUAAUUUUUCACUAAAGCUUUCUGAGCUAUAUUAAUGAUCAGCUUUUGAAGUCCUGAUAUCAUUAUCAGGACAAAGGUACACUGUAAAAAAAAAUAAAAACAUUGAGGAACAGCAGCAGUUUGAUAAUAUUAAACUACAGUUAAUUAAUGUCUCAGCCAAAAACUCUAACACUGUAAUUGAAAAAACUGAAAAAUACUGUAAAAUAAUUACCAGUAAAUGCUGCAAAAUUACAGAUGGGUACUAUCAAUUAUAUAAUCCCAGUAAAAAUGUAUGGUGGUAUUACUAUUUAAAUAAGGUUAUUUGUUGUCAAAUUUUACAGCAUUUUAAACUGACAAAGUUAAUCUUUAACUUGGACCGUUAAUUUUGCGGCGCUCAUUUCUCUUUCCUGUUAGAGCAAAAAGGUUGUAUCGUAUUCAUUUCUUGUACAGUUCUGGCAACCCAACUGACAGUUAUAUGUUACAGUGUAUGCCAAUAUUAGUAGUGAUCUGUUCAGUUACUGGUAUUAAAUUUAUAACCAUAAAUCUGUAAUGAAAGAAAGUUUAAAAAAAAAAAAGAAAAUGUCAAUAUUUAAUCACAAUUGUGCCUCAAAAUGUGUGUGAUAUGUGAUGAAGCUCAUCAUUGUAACUCUGUUGAUCAGUAUUAACACAUAUUUCAUAGAGUUCAGACGGAGCAGUAUGAUAGGUAAUGGUAAACUAACUGUGCCUGUAACCUCUACUUCAACCUGCUUUGUUAUUUGGGAAGUAUCUCUCAUCUUUGCAACAGAGCUCAAACUGAUUAUUUUCACUGUUUAUCUCAAAGUCAGUGUUGUUAAUGAAUUUCAUCAUCCUGUUUUUUUUUUAAAGCACGGUUAUGAAAAAAGUGAAGAAGAAAAAAUGCAGAAAAAGUGUUCACAGCCUGGUCAAGUUGCGAAGUAUCAUAACAUACUUUGUGCGGGGAAAUGGCCACUUGCAAUCAAAUAGCAUUACUUAACCUGCAGUGGUUGAUGGCGGCAGCUGCAUCUGAGGUCAUGUGUAAAUAUGUCACCAUCUUCUGGGUAAAAACGAGUAAAACAAUAAAAUAACUGUGUAUUUUAAACAAGUAUCUAAGUUGCACCAGGAUGUAGGAGCUCACUUUUUGGAUGAUAAAAGGUGAGUCUUCUACUCUGAUUUUCAUGUCAUUACCACCUUGUAAUACCUGCACGACUCACUUGCAGUGAACUCAUAUCCUGCCAUACCUCCCUGUCUGACAGGACCAGCAGUGGUUAAAACAUGAGUGCUACGCAGUUGCAGGUCUGUGUUUCAACACGAGAUCAUUAGACUUUAAAUGAACCAUGCUGUGCUUACAGGUGUGGGUUUAUUAGCCGUUUCACAGCAGCUUGGGAAGUGACUCAGCUGGACCAGAACUGAGGACAGAAGCAAUCUGUUCAGCCACCAGAGUGAAAAAUAGGAUCACCUUUCAUCAUGCAUUUCAGAUUUUGCUCUCUUUACAUGGUAUUGUGAAAGUUUUAAUCUAUAAACUCAUUACUUGAAGUUCAGCGUGUGGGUCGUUUCUGUUAAUUAAUCACCAUUUUCUCAAUCACAGACCACUGACCUUUAAAGGUGUGCUCAUUUGUUAUAUACCUCUAAUUCUGUAACUAGUAAAAGUGAAAGUACUGAUUCAUACAUCUGUUAAAGAUAAAAAAUAGCCUGUUUAUUUAGAAUUAAAGUGCGCGUGUUCACCUUUAAGCGCUAAUCCUCAAAGGAAACAAGCCAAUGACAAGAUGACAGGAGCAAGAAUAAACUGAUAUUUUCAUUUUAAAACCCUCAUGCCUCGGUUUAAAUUGGGAGGGGGAGAAUAUCUCGACACAAAUAUGACAGGUAAACACACACACACAUAGUAACACACAUACAUCCUCUGCGGCUCUGAUUGAGUGUAAGUGUCUGCGUUGGCGGUCAAGGUCAGCUGAUAAUGGGAGAGAUUGAGGACGGGGUGAGGCGGCAGGGGGGUCGGCAGCAGUCUCAGGUAAUGAGAUUUACGACCCUGAGCUCUCACCGCACCCCCCCCUCCAAGUCCCUCCACCCUUUGGCUAACAUGAUUUAUAGAUCUAAUAGACGUCACCGCUCCCGCCUUAGAUAGAGGCUUCACAUUAUCACUGAGGAAAAGUCAUCUGCUCAACAGGGCAAGAAGGCAGAGACGGAGACGUCACGAUGUAAGAGCGCUCAUAUUUGACUCAUAGCGAAAACACGUCUCUGAAUGCAUGUAUGUGUGUAAGCUCACAAUAUAGUUACUAAUCAAACAAAUUCACCCAAACUUUUAUACUUUAAAGGGGAACCAACAAAUAAGACUUAUAUAAAGUAACUCUUUUGAAACUGAUCUCAAAAGCUGCAAUGUAACCAGUCAUUUACCGCCAUUAUUAUGGGACUAAACUCAUAACUCCCUGCUCUAUGCUCUAUGUCAUGCUGUUAUACUAACUACUUAAUGACUCCUUGCAGUGGCACUAAUGUCAUAAAAGAGGAUAACAUGAACAGAGGUUAAUUGGUCGAAGAAGAGGAAGCUGACAGCUGCAUAUUAUCAAAGAAAUGCCACAGCUCUUUCAAAAUCUGAAAAAGAGAAAAUGUAAACCCUGUCUUCAUCCUGAGAUGAGAGGAAAGGUGAAGGAUGCUCUCAAGUCCGUGGAGUUCCACUUGUAUUCACAUCAAGAGGGAAAUGCAUUCUGAUAUGCUGCAGACUGGUCUGAUGCAGGAGAUUUACAGCAAAUCUCAGAUGUCAGAAGUUUCACUGUAGGUUCUCAAGGAAGUUAUUUAACUUAUUUUACAUUUGGUAUGUUGUUGGAUGAAUUUAAGUUACAGACUAAAAACAUGUGCAUUGUUUCAUCUCAUUAAAAGACUAAAUUCCUUAUUUAGUCAAGUAUUGUGACACAUAUUGUCAUAUUUAUAUCUAGAUAUAAAUAUCAUGGGCCUUGUAUCAUGUCCUGAGUCAUCUGGCAAGUCUCACCCCUAACUGCUAAAUUAAAGCUCCUGUGAGGAACUUUUUGUUUGUGUCAACUUUGGCGCCCCUCGUGGACAAAGCAGUCUUUUCUUACCUUGUCCUCUACAUGUUGGAGUGGUGACUUUUGACAAAAUCUCUCAUCCGGCUGACAUUAAACAGCCAAAUCCAUUAUUUUUUUCUUCAAGCAGAAUUGUAGAAACAUCUGUUUCCCCAACUGCUCAGCUGACACAUACCCUUCACACCAGUUUCAGGCAUUGAAAUUAAAGUAUACAAAUUUCUAAUCUUGUCCCUGAUGGUCUUGUUAGUUUUUAGAUAUCACAAACAGACAUCAGUAUGAGAUCCAGUCUAUUCCAUAUAUUCUAAAAAGUCCUCAAAGGAGCUUUAAGUUCAAACAGCAUCAUAACAAACCUCAAAAAAAGCUCCCAAAAUCUCCAGUCAUAAAAAGUACCUGACUUUUGUUUCAGAAACAGGAGCUAUAGUCUCACAAAUGUGUUCCUGAUGAUUGUUUUAAAUCCCAAAGCAAGUAAUUAGUGUUUAAAUCCUUUUAAAUUAAGAUUUUUAGUCAUUCAGUAGACCCACAAUUCAAGUUUAUUGUCAAUUAAUGUCCUAUCAAACAUCUCCACAUGUUUUGAUAUCACAAUCUAAAGUAAAUAUUGGACACGGUCCUUCUUAAUUAAACCCUUUGUUUGCAGAAUGGGAGGAAAUCUGCAGAUAUUGCUGUCCAAUUUAAAAAUGUAACUACAAACAGAUUGCAGGAAUUUAGAAACCAACAUAAAAGGCGAUUAGCUGCCACACAAGUAAUGGGAUUACUCCAACAUGCCACCGUCCGUGCUGUUCUGCUCAUAGCGCUAACACUCCAAACAAAAUGACAUUCAACACACAAACCAUGCUAUUGUUCCAGCACGCUGCACAAGCCGACUGAGGCACAGCGGCUGUAGGGAUGGAAGCUGCUGAACUUACUGCUCAUUACUGAAACAACCUCUCCUAGAGCUGCCGAACAACAGAGGCAACAUCCAGUGUCUGUUCAGCUCUGUUAACUUAUGCCUCUGCAAAAAAAAAGAAAAAGAAGACAAAAAAAAAAUAGAUAAAAAGCACAACAAUAUGGUGACAGCCAGAUUGCUUCCCAAUAGAUGCCGAGCUAAUAUUUGCACUAGCUCUGCUGUGCGUGUUGGAAAAGAUGGUAGAUUGGAUUUCGAGCAGAAGCUUACACUCACAAACACCCCCCGUCAGUUGUUUGUUCUCAUGCAGCCUGCCAUCUCAGUGUAUUUUGAGAAUUAAACCAAUAAGCCCCCCUGCUAAGCCCAGCCUAGCAGUUAUUGAUGUGCUGCCUUUUAUUGUCUGGAGUUCAUUCUGUUCAUAUUCACUGUGGCUGCCUUUGUGCCAGCUAACAGUAACUUAAAACACACUGACGCUGUCCGCCUCACAGACGACACACACCAGCUCAGGAAUUUGAGGCACAAUAUGUCAUAAAAAUCUCAUUAAUACUCUCAGAGCCCUUAAUCACACAUCAUCUGAACAUUGUGUCAGGAGUUUGCACAUUAAUUUUCAUUUUAAUGGUGAUUUUCCUCUUUAAAGAAGGGCCAAAUUUAAAACGUCCUUCAAGAGAGACGGCGACAUGGACUUGCAUCUCAUCAUCUAUUUGCUGAAAUGUUCAAAGUCAUAUCAGUCUCACAAGCCCUGUGACAGGAAAUUCUAUUGAAACAAAUUCUCACCAUCUUCUCAAGCAAAAACUCCAAACUAACAAGGAAAACUUCUUUUGGGGAUUGGUAGAGUAUCUCACGUUUAUCUGUAUCACUUAUCUGUCAUCUCCUUUGACAUGAUUUGAUUCACAGUAGCCAUACUCUGCAAGAAAAAAAUUCCUAAUAAAAAAAAUCUUUAAUACUUUUAUUUGACAUUUUAACCGUCUUGCAUUUAGUUUUAUUUAUUGUCUAUAUUGUAAGACCAUGCUUUUAUUUAUUUUUUAAAAUUGAUACUACUUCUACACAUCUUAAGUUAUGAAGUUGAAUAGAAAGAGCUAAAAGGAAGGUUCAAAAGUAUAAUUAUUCAAUGUAACAGUACCCCGCAGAGUUGUCACAGCAAAUAUUGAACAUCAUUCAACGGUGUCUGAUCUUCUUUCAGAGGGCUGCUACCCCUAGCUCGCUGGCUGACUCUGCUGCUUCUUCUCUGUAGAAGACACUUAUAGUAACCAGCAUAAAGAGCCAUCACUGCACCCAACACUAUGAACCAGCUAAUUACACUAUAAUAGCAUAUGCUAAUGAAUACCAAAAUAUCAAUACUUCACUCUGUUUUAGAGUAGUUAGCACUAUAUACUAUCCUUUACAUCUUCAUGUAAUCAUACUGUUGUUCACCAUCAAAAUUACAUUUUUAUUUGCAGUUUUGUGCGACAGAAGUACUUUAAAAUCAAACAAUAUUAUAGGUGUUCUGCUGUCUUAAAAGCUAGAGUUACAUACCAUGUAAAUAGUUAGUCAAACUGAACAUUUGGUGCAACACCUUUAGAGUGCACUUUCUUUAAAGUGCAGGCAUUUCUAGGAUACUGAAUAACUGCUUCCUUUCUCUCAAAAACUCUCUUCUCUUCACCACUGUACAUGUUUACAGCAGCAAAAAUGGCCUAAAGUAUUUAAAGUGGGAAGUUUUGUUCAACUUAGAAAACUCUUAAAAUUGAGGUCCAAAAAUAUCUGUAUUUUGUCAUAACCUAUUUUGCAUAAACCAUCUCGUUUAAGGCAUAUUUUACAUAAAUACAUAUGUUAAUGUUUUCUUUUUAUAGACUUUAGUUCAUUAUUUAAAUUCAAACUUUUUCAACAAGAGGUCAGAAAAGAAGUAUACAGCAGCAAUAUGUGCAAAAAUAUGGCCAAUUGGUGGCCAGAACCAUUCAAAUACUAAUCUAAUCUAUCAAACUGCCAGUAGUGAAAUGAUUCUGAGGGCACUCUUAUUUCGGAGAGAAUGAUGCCACCAAAAAGUUCUGCUCCUCUAACUUUGCAUUUACAUACUAGACGCCUCAGUGAGCUGAGUCACCUGAAGCAGCUCCCCCCUGCAUGCCUCUGAAUUCAUUAUGAAUCAUUUCUCCUAUCUCAUUUUAUCUCAUCUCACCCAGUGUCUCAGUGGGUGUAUGUCGGUGCUCGAGCCUACCGGGAAGUUUGUCACUUUGAUAACAGGUGGGAUAAGAAGCGCAGUCAGGCAAAGACGCAAAACUGCAACAAAACGGGAAAGUUUUAUAAGGAAUUAAACACAACACCCCCUCAUUUCUUCAGAGAUUUCAAUGAAAACCUUAUUUGAAACAGGCCCACUCGGAAUGGGGUCGGAUGCUCUUAUUAAUUUUCUUUAUUUGUACGCUCCUCGGCUCUUUUCACCCGAGGUAGCGUUCACCGCUGCGAGGACAAUAAAUAGUGCUGUUCAAGUGCCUCCACAAUUUUCAGCUCAAUAGAGGAAAUGCACAGUUGAUUUCUCUGUGGUGUCUCAGCUGCUUUAUUAGCGCAGAAAGUAAAGGGGCUUUUUAUCCGCCUGUUUAUACCGAGUGUUUGAAAGCAACUGAGUCUCCUGAGCACCAUAUUGUGGAUAAAUGUCUGGAGUUUAGAGAAGUAAUCAUGAAGUCCUGAAGGGGGAUGAAUAAGAAAACGUUAAGGUGAUGCAGAGGACAAUUUCCCUCCUCAAUCCAAGAGGUUAAAUCUUGUGUAAGAGUGACAUUAAUUUAUUUCAUCACCGACCAGAAAUUCAGGCAAACACUCGCUGAAAAAACCGACAGCCAACCGCUUUCAACACCCGCAUUCAUGCAAGUACAGUAGCAGCACUUCAAUGCUACAACAUUAGAGCUUUGUUUCAGCGCAGAGGAGGGUGGUUGUGUUGCCAGAGAGAGCUUAAAAUGGCUGCUGAAAGUCAGAAAACUGGAGCCAAACCAAGCCCAGCAGACGGUGGACAGGCUUGCGGGUUGGAUGGCUGGGUUCGAAGGCAGCAGCUUGUUAGGGUGGAAAUGGAUUAGUGCGAGGCACAAUGGGAGUCUUAGGCGUGUCUGCGGUGUUGUGUUAAAGCCCUGCCUACGUUGCCCGGGCUGCUAGACUCAUUUAUGCCCAGCGGUGCAUGCAGCAGCCAGCUCUCUCUCUCUGUCUCUCUCUCUCUCUCUGUCUCACACACACACACAAACAGGGCUUUUCUAAUUGCUGUGGUCUCUUCUGUGCUCACAGCGACAGCCUUGAUUCGGCAUCCAUCAAAACCACAAAUUAACCUGCGGCACCUCGCUAUUGUUCAGUUUGUCACAUGCAGCUGGUAGUGGAAUUAUUGCUUCAACUCUGUUGCCUUACACAGUGGGAGACACUGAAGAGAUUUUCGAAAUUGGACAGAGAAUUUCUGAACAGUGUGUGGCCUCACUUUAUCUGCAGCUACAAACAAAAAACUCACUUGUAGAUUGAAAAUUUAAGUUAUUUCUUUGGUUUUUAACAUGAUGCAGGCGGCGUGAGAAAUGGCAAACUCUUUGCCACGGAGGAGCCAACACAACCAGCGUAACAUCGUCCUCUUGUCGACAAUUGUUUAAGAUCCAUGAGUUUCCCAGUUUGAUUGUGUAUCUUGGUGCGAGAGGUUCGGACACUGCCAUCUUGUAUUUAGCUACCAGAAGUCAACAUAGCAGGACAUCUCCAUCUUGUGUUAAAGGGUAGUUACCAAACUUGGAUCACUGCUAUGUCACCAUCCUCGUUAAACCCUACAGUGUAGUUUAAGCUUCUGUAUCCUUCGGCCUUCGUCUUGCCUAUGCCAUACUGGCCAACGCUGUCAUGAGCAUUUCAUAAGUCUGCAUUGGGGUGUCGUUCUGCUGUACACCACCUAAAAACUGGUUGGCAGUGCUUAUCAUAACACCCGUCUAGUUUUACCAUGAUCCCCCCUUGUGAUUGGCUGCAGUGAAUCUGAAUUACACUUGAUUCUGCACUGAAUCAAGUGUAAUCUGUUUGAGUUGGUGGUGGUAUAUGUUGUGCAGCUGUUGAUCCCGUUGCAAUUAUUGCAUUGUAGAAAGAGGGGAGGUGGAUAUACUGCCACUUAGGAAGAGGACAGGGAUCAGCGGCACACUACUGGAAAUCUCUGCUGACAGGCAGACCAAUCACAGGUCUCGCAGUCGAUGUCGUUUCAAUAAAUAGUUAGGUUUUUUGCAGCGGUGACAGAGAAAAUAAUGGCAUUUUUUUAUGACUGUUCCAAAAAUUCAGUCCAAAGGUAUUUUUGUUUAUCAUAUACAGUACAAUACAGAGUCGUCCUAUUUUUUGUUGAGAAUGAGAUUUUAGCUCGCUAGCAUACCAAAUUCAGAUAUGCUAACAUGCAGCUCAGUGUGCUAAUGUCCAAAGGUAGGUAAAGUCCUGUGGAAGCUUGCCUUUAAACCACUGUUUUAGCUUUCUCCUUACGCUCCAGAGGCAGCUCAUUUCACACAUUUGCAUUUCAUUCGCACGCACAAUGACAUUGUCAAAGAUGUAUUUGAGGUAUAAAUCAUACACUUGUCAGUGACUGCACUUCAUUUACUCCCCAUCUUUUUAAGGAAAUGUCUGGCAGACAGGGCUCCUUCAAAAGUUUCCUAUAUGAGAAGAAAAAUAACCAGACUAAUACUUUGUUGCUGGAUUUUCUUCAGUGCAAAGCUGCACUUUUGAUGAAUAUCUUUGAGCAACAUGUUACCUGUCAAUGCUGAUGUGCUGUUUGGUGCAUUUAUUGCUCCCUUUGGAAAAAACAACACAGUAUUCAUUAUCCAGUGAAUAUCAAAAUAAGCGAGCAGGAUGGCAUUUUAGAUUUUGCUUUUGUGGUUGCAUUUUAUGCCUAUUAAACAAUAGUCAGUGGAGAGAUGAUGGAGAAUGAGGGGAGGGAAAAAUGAGGAUAAUAUGCCGCAAAGCCCUUGAAAAGAAGUGGAGAGACACAGGUGUAAGUGAUAAUGAAUCACGGCUGGAUUGCACUCCGCUGCUUCAGUUUCAUUGUCAUGUCUUAUUGGGACACUUGAAUGGAGCAGCAGCAUCAUUAAUGUUAUUAGUAACACCUGUGCUUUUCCUGCCACGGCAAAUCAAAAUGUCUGCUGCAAAAACUUCACACCUGCAGGCAAUUUAGAGUCUCCAAAUAACCUCUCCUUUAUAUCUUUGAACUGUGGAAGGAAAACCAGCAGCACCAGGAGGAAAACUCCACACAGAAAGUUCAUCAAAAGGAAAAUCCAAAAGGGAACAGCGGCAUAUAGUGGAAGCAUUGUUUGACUGACAGGUGCUCCCCGGGAAGGGAAGUUUAGAGACACCACAACAAAGACAUAACAGCAAAGGCAAAGGCUGGAUGAUGCUAAGCUAAUGGUCCCCAAAAUAUUCCUCAGUAACAUUUUCUAAUGACAGGAUACAUCUGGUGUCUAUUUUAACUGUCAACAAACCAAAAUUGGAUCUUUCUACAGACUUCUUUCCUGUGCAUCCAAAACGGGAAAUGUUUAACCCCAUAAAAGAUAAAAAAAAAGGUUAGUGUUUCCUGAGAUGGCAUUGGCUGAUGAUACUUCCUAAAAUGUAGGAGACAGUGUGCCUAUCUACUAGUUGAUCACCACAAGAGUACAGCAAAUGAUAUCACUUCAUCCCUAACAUGUAGUGUAAUUUAGUGAAAGCAUCAAAAGCUAUUUUUUGACUCCUUUAGUGUGAUUAAAUUGUAUAACCUAUGUAGGCGCCAUAACCUUGGCAGGUGGCCCAGUUUUAAUGCUGACCAUGCUGCCCUUUGCAUGUGUCAUGCUUACCCCUGCCCUCUCCUCCCACUUUCCUGUCUUAUGGUCUUAUCCUCUUUAUUAAGACCAAAACAGCCCAUAAAAAUAUGGACAUUUAUGUAAGACUAAGGUUGCAAACACACUGACGCAAUUUUUGAGCUGCAGAGCUGAUUCUAACCUGGGAUUUUCACCGCAUCCGCAACGGCUCCAAUCCGGAAUGGCAGCGAUUUUCGCCAUACGGCAAUUCCUACCGGAUCCGUUGGUGAGACAAAUUUCGUGGCGGGUACAGACAGCGGGAAUCGCGAGUACUCACGAGAACCCGCGGAUUCACGUUCACUCACGUGAUAACAAGUUGUCUUUAGCCACAUAGGCUAACCAUAUAAGUAGUAGAUUGUGUCCUUCCAGAGGAGGAAACCCACUUCUCGACUUAUAAAAUCAGCAUCUCCUCAUCCAUGGUGUCAUCGGGAUGAAAUGCUGUCCAUAAAUUUUUCACUUGUUGAAACACAGAGUGUUUUAUUUUGAAAAGAAGCCGGAUGUUUUAUUUUGUGUCUGUGCCCAACCACUUUUCCAGCGCAGGUUAAUCUGUGCUGAAUUUAUCCAGCACGCUCCAGCGUCUGGAAAAAAUAGAACUCUUGCGAUCAGCUGCAGAGUCCGGCGAUCCGCAGCGGUACGGAAAGAAGCCAGUGGAAAUUGACACAUUAACUUGAAUGGUUACGAUCAGCUACGAUCGGUGGAUACGGCCUUUUCGUAUGGGGUUCUGGAUGUGAUGGAAAUUGCUGGUAAGGCUGAGUCAAAUUUUAGCUAAUUUCACCUCUCAGGUGUGUUUUUCCAGCAGUGUUCAGGGGUGUCAUGUCAGGCUCACACCGCCCAAUUAGCCACCCCUGAGCAGCUGGAUGAAUUUCUGAUGUGUUAGAAAGUUUUGCCCGCUAAUAGCCUUCUUUUGCUCAGACAAAGCAGAGCAAAGAAGCAGUUUAGGGUUUCCUUUCCUGAUCAUGCCUGAGCUGAAUGGUUCACAGCAUCUGAAAGCACCACGGCGACGAGCCACAUGGAGUGGAAUACACUUUGAAGCACACUUAUAUCUAGCUAUAACAUUACGACCUCCUGUGCCUUCUAAAGGAAUCUAGUCGACAACAUUGUCUACAUUUUCAUAUUUUGUGAUCUGGUCAGAAAGUUGAUGAUUGUCCUCUGUAUGUAUCGCUGAAGUCUUAUAAUCUGACUACAACUUCCAUCUGUGAAAGUUGAACUUUUCAGAGCAGUUUCCAUUGAAUACACACAGUUAUUUAAGCUUUUCCAGCCACACUUGUACAUCCCUUCUUAAAGAAGUGUGUUUAGUAUGGAAGGCUGGCUUUGCUGUCAUGUAAUGUAUUGUGCAACAGACUUCUUCAUUCAUGGUUAUGGACAUUUUGUACAAUCUGUUGACACUGAAAAAAUUGGAAUAACAUUCGACUUAUCCCUAAAUCUCUUAAUCAGUGGGGCAUAUCUUCUUCUGGAUUAAGACAAACCACCCUGAGGAAACACACAGGGAAAGUCUCCAAAUGGAUUUGCUUGAAAAACUCUCAGACUGGCUCAUUCCCUGUUACUAUUCUUUUUAGAGUUUCUGUGCUAAAAGCAGCCACAGCCAAAUGUGUGUGGUCAUGGCUGGAGUUUUUAUUUUUUCCAAAAGCCGCCUGAGUAAAUGAGGAUUGACAGGCCCCUAAUGCCCUCUGCAGCGAAUAAAUGGAUAAUCGAGAAUCCUGUUGUGAUGCCCCCCGUCCCGUGUCUGAGAUGAGACACACAGCCAUCUGAGCACUGCAGUGACACAGCCACAUAUUGACUGUGUAUGUGUGAGCUUAUGUUUGUGUGUAAGAAUGACAGAAAGAUGAAUUUAUUCUCUGACUUUUCAUACUAUCAGUCACACUAUUUACAUAUUCAAUCCUCACAACAUAAUGCACUGACAGUGAUGUUAUUCUGCUGCUGCCUCCAUGGUGUCACAUUUGCAUUUGUUUUUUUUCUCCUUUUUAUUGCAUUUAAAGACCAGUCGGCCGCACACGUCACGAUGAGUGAAUCCAACUUCACAUUUUGUCACACCCACCUCCCCACCCAUGACAAAAUGUGUUGAUAUGUUGCCAAAAAACUCUGUAGAGCUGCUGGCAAAGGGUAAUUGUUGAUUAUUCAGAUAUUUGACAAGAAUUCAUUAAAUUGCUCCGGACAAAUGCAAAUGUCCAUCAGCCAUGGGUGUAUUUGAACUUCUCAACAUCCCUGAAAAAUAAUACAGGUGUAUGUGCCAGAGCAGAUUUUUGAUUUGGAAAUAUCUUAUUUUUAUAUUCCAAAGAUCUUUUUCAACAAAGUGGAUCGAAAAUGUUUCAAGGCAAACAGAUUCCUUUGCUCAUGUCAUACAUCAUACUUAAACUGGGGGGAUUAUGCUUCUGUAUCUUUAUAUCGACCCUCUGUUAGCUUCUUAGCUUAACAUGAUUUACAGUUUACCAAAUGUUUUACUUAUUUCAGGUUACUGUCUUUGAAAACCCUCAUACCAGCCUCUGUCUGAGAUGCUUCAUUUAAGCCACUGUCCCUUUAAGACCUGUCCAGCAUUCCAGAGCCCAGCACUCUAGUAGCCUCCUUCACUGUUGCUAUGCAAAAAGUUGUGUUUCUUUUUACAAAAUGACCAAAAUGCCCCUUUAAGGAAGUUCAAUUCAGAGCAGCCCGUAGUCUAACCUGGGGAUUACUUCAACAUACAUUAACCUUACAAUCUGAAACUUCUCUUAAUUGAUCUGUAGUUCUGAUUGUUAAAGUUAUGGCUGUCACUUUUCAGUUCUGAUAUGAAGUUAUAAGCAGACUAAACUCUCAGUCUUUUAACUUCAAGUUGCUGGUCUGUCUUUGCAUAAAUGUAAACUCCAGUUUUUGGUGCAAUAAUCAGUCUGUCGACAUUGUUGUAAAAUUGAUGAUAAAGUAAUCACCAACAAAUCUGAUUGCUGAUAAUUGUGGUGUCACAUUAUUCGGGUGUUUUUCAUGCUGCGAGCUUGGAUCACAUUGUUUUCCUAGAGUGGAGCUGCAGGGGAUUGAGCCAUCCUGUAUUCAUACUCUGUGCUCAGAGCGACUGGGGAGAGACAGUUGAAUAAAACAAAGCAAAAUGGCUGCAGCUGGAACACCACAUCCUAAAUUUCUUGAAUCUAGUACGUUUCAUAGACUAAGAGACCUUGGAUGAGGUUUAGAUAUGUGCAGGCAUGUUGGAUGUAUCUCUGCAUUGAAUGGAAACUCAGUUUUGAAACUUUACCCUCAAACUCUCGUUGUAUGAUAAUAGUUAUUAAAAAUUAUUCAUAUUAUGCAUUGAAACAAAUUUAUCCAUAUAACAUUAACUCUCAUUAUCUUUAACACCCAGAAAAAUGCAGCUUGAGUUGGCAUCUGUACGUUUUAAGGUUAAAAGAUUAAAAAUAUUAGAAGAAGAGAUGUUAAAUGUACGAUUUAUGUUAUUGGUCAAUACACCAUUCCAAUAAGUGACACCAUCAGCCUGAGCCUCUGCAAAAGACACGCCAACAGAUGUAGAUAACAAACCUAGGAACAGGAAACAGUUUAGUACGUGAAUGUGUCACAAGAUAGAACAACAGAGUUAUCCAUUAAUUUAUCUUAUUUUGAAAAAGGACGUUUUUUGUGGAGACCAAAGAAAGGUCCCCGGUUUAUUGUCUCAGUUUUGUGAUUGAGAAGGAUACAAAAGUAUAAUGAAAUAAAAGCCAGACGGAGGAGAGAGAGAGACUGCUGGCCGAGUCACGUCCGUCUGCGCUGCACUUAUCAGGUUGGGAUUUUCUGGAAGUGUCAGCCGGUGUACGAAGCCUUCAAGGCUCUCGGGGAAAGGGAAUGCUGCGGUAGUGACAGGGCUAUCUGCCUCUGACAGCCCAAAGACCUAAAACCGGAUGGCUGGUGGAGAUAAGGCUCCGUCGGCACUGGACACACACAAAUAGACAGGACACACAUAUACACACACUCACACUCACUCACACACACACACAGGAUGUUUGUGUGUGUGUGUGAGCAGGCGAGUACGCGACACAUGAGCACACAGCCAAACACUGGCAUUCACUUUGCAUUUACAAAUUCCCUAUUGCCUGACCACUCGCUCAUUCAUUCACUCAUAUGCACUGACACACACACACACACAUGCACACACAGAUGCUGGCUCCCUGUCUUCCAGCCAGCGAGGCUUCCCAUUAGCCGUGGUGCAGUGUGCUGGGUGAGGAGCGCUGGGGCGAGAGACAUCAAUUUGCUUCCUCUAAUGCGCUCGCUGCCCCCACAAGACAUAUUGAUUAUUUCUUCCCCGCAAAGCGACAAAUAGCAAUUUCGGGGGCAUAAUGGAGAUAGAUGGUUGGUUUAUAAGAAGCCCCCAAAGAAAAGUUGUCGGGGGGGGGGGGGUGUGCUGAGAGUGGGUGGGGGUAGGGGGGUAGGCGGGGGAGUUGGGGAUGCUCUUUCUCAUCCUGUUUCUUGCGUUUUGUCUCUUUUCCUUGAGUUAACUUUCCAACAUUUUUAAUAGAAGGUGAACAAGAUGAAUUGAGAUCAAAUUGAACCUUAUCAAUCCUUUUAAAGAUGUCUGGUACAUAAAGCACUACUGUACAAACUAAGAGUGACACCAAAGAAAAACAACAAGUGUGUGAGUGUUUUAAUACAGAUGUAGAGUUUAAUAGCUGAGGUUACAGAGUAAAGCUCCAUUGUAAUUUAAGUAUUUGUUCUCUCUUAUUACCAUUUCAGUCAGUCCAGAUGAACGCACACUCCACAGAUGCUCUGGGUCCAGCUGAGUCCAGCCUUUGCAUCCACAGCUGCACUGAGGUAUGGCUGAUCUGUGUUUAUCAUUGGUAUUCGUAUUGGCUCUCAUUCUGUAGGGUUAUAAAAACUUCAGUUGCACCAGGUAAUUAUUGUAAGGCAGCAUGUGAUCUGUGCACAUUUGAAUUACAAGUAAUAUCCUGCAUGACGUUAAAGUGACAGUAAUAUUGCAUAUGGUGGUAAUUAUAAUAAAGGCUUUUACUGACAAUAGAGGAAUAUAGUUUCGAUCAAACACAUGAUAACAAACAUAACAUGUAUUAAUCCCUUAGAAUGUUCUAUUGCACAAGAUAACAGGCUUAAUAUGUCUCAGGCCGAGUUUAAAAAAGCAACACUGACCAUGAAAAUAAGCGUGACAAAGCUGAUUUAUUCAGAAGUAACACAGCGUAUUUGUUGUUUUUUAAAUAAGAUUGCAAAUAAUGUUAAAAACAUAACAGUGAUGGUUUACUUAAAUGUAAUGUUGCACAUGCAAAUGAUAAUCUAGCCUUUUUUAGGACUACUGCUCGUGAUUCAAAAAGAAAAAUUUACCAUAAUAAAAAAGCAGAAAUGCAUACAAUAUGAAAAGCAAUAUUGCGCUUGAUAUGGAAAAAGUAAUAAGAUAUUUACUGUGCACCGUGGCAUGUACUUCAGUCCAUUUUGUCUCCAGAAAAACAAAAAGCAGUCAUAAAGGCUGUAGUUCAUAGCAGAGGUACAGUGAGAGAUGAGUGUAAAGGUAUCUUUGAGCUUCAGGGUGCACAGAUGUUGAGGUGCGACACCAAAGCACUUUCAUUACCCCCCUCAGGAGUGUAGCCUCCUCCCAUCUUAAUGGUUGCACUGCAGAGAGCAGCUGCCACUGCUGUGUUUGCUCUGCCUCGCCCUCCGUCUGUAACAUACUCAUAUCCCUGUUGUUAGCGUCAGGCUGCUCUCAUGGUGGGAUUGUAUGUGUUUGAUUUUGCAAUCUGACUUUCAAAGUUCAUGCAAAGUUUUGGGAUAAGUUUCUAUUCCAGUGAUGGAUCGCUGGGUUGUUAUAGAUUUAUAGAUUUAGAGGUUGUUAUUUUAUUUUUACUGCCCACAGGUUUUUCUCUCUGCAUCAAUUGUUAAGAUGAAAUCUUGAAAUGAAGACUGUGUUUUUCAUUUUCGCUCUUUUCACUCUUGACAAGAAGGCGGCUGCUUUUAAAUCCUGAGACAGCCAAGACUCAUAAAUUUUGAAAAAGUGGACUUCAGUGUCAUCGUGUAGUCUGUUUGCUUUGAAAAAUCGGCUUUAGAGCUGACUAAAAGUCUAAAUAAAUCCUCCAUUUCAUGUUGUUAACAUCCAUAUGCAUUCAUAUCUGCCUUCAUUUAUCUAACAGAAGUUUUCCUGUCAUGAAUCCACCUGCUAUUCUUCCCCAAACUCUCACUGCAAACUCGGAUACUUCUCCUCCAGACAGCUACGGUGUUCAUGCUGUUACAUAACAUGCUGGCUGAUUGGAGGUAUAGCUGAUAGCUGCCAACUGUAGAAGUCAACGCUGCUGCUGACUGCAGGCGGUAAAUGAGGUAGUACUUGUGUGUGUGCAUGUGUGUAUGUAUGUGCGUCUCAUCACAUGAUGGACUGAUAGGAAGUUCAGCUGCAGACAACUUUUCUCUCCCAAGUUGAUUCCUAGUUGUGAUAAUUCUUGUAAAAUCCACUAACUAGUCCAGGAUUUGGAAAGUUCAAAGACUUCUCAGGCUGGUGAAAACAUUGCUGAUGUGAUCAGUCAACACUUGUGUUUAUCUCACUUUCUGAUCAUGUCAGCUGAAAUUGGCUCAUAAAGACUGAAUGUGGGAUAAUGUGAGCAGCAUGAUAGAACAGAUGGUACAAGUUGAGGCAUUCGCACCCUGAAGGAGUUAAUGAGUAAAUAUUUGUAUGUCGGUACAUGGGAAGAACAUUUCCACGAAUUUCAGUCACUUCACUGAUAAAUCUGUGUGGAUAUAUUUCAUUUUUAAUAUGACCUUAAUUAGCCUCUAAAUGUUUACUCACAGUGGGGUCCAGCUCUUCGUGACACUCUGUUUCAAAACUAGCAUCAUAUCUGGCUUUACAUGCUUCUAUGUAGCCCUUUUAAAAUGUUGGUGAUGCACCACACUUAGUCCAAUUACUCAGGGCACAACGACGAUCACAGCAAUUGUAUCUGUUUCAGCCCACUAAUGUCAUAAGAAGAGGUGUUUCGUUUUGCUUCUCUCAAACAGACCUCCCAAAUUGAUGAUAAAACCACAGAGUAGUGAAUCCAACUUGUAAAGAAAACACUAAGAAGUCCCUGUUUCUGUCAGAUUGUUGUAAAUUGUAGCACAUAUUAACAACACUACUGUUGAUUUUGCAUAUUUCAAUUUAGCUCUAUGUUUAAACAGCACGUAAAUCACCGUUUUCUUUAAGUCACAGUCUAAAAUGGCAUCAUGGAGUGCCAAAUUGUCUCAGCAGCGAAAGCACGAGCCCCAAAUACAACAACUCCAUUCCUUAUCCCAGUGGUUACUAGUUUGACUUCCAGCUAGGGCUGGGCGAUUUGGCAAAAAAAAGAUAAUAUUUUUUCUCAUAUCGUCCGAUCCCGAUUAUUAUCAUUUUUUUUUUUUUUUCACUGCCAAGCAUCUGAACUAAAAACUAAAGAAACUAGAGAUAAGUUCAACAUUUUAUUACCAAAGUAAAUAACAAAGCAAAUUAAAUAGGAUAAACUCAGAAAAAUGUAAUAAACAUUUUAACUCAACAGCACAACAAAUGUAGAUAAAUACUAAAAGAUACAGUGAACUAGUUUCAGUCCUGAGUGUUUUUGCAGGUAUGCAAGACUCAAAAUAAACAAAUCGACCCCUCAGGGAUAAUGAAAAUGAAGUGCACGUAGAUGAUAUGAUUGAUUGCUGCUUUAGUCUGGUGGCUGCACAGCUAGUUUUGGCUAAACUGCUAAUGUUACUUAUGCCGUCAGCAGUGGCAGGUUGUGAAGACUCCGCUCACAUUCUCAUGCUUUCCGCAUAAUCACUCAAGAAGUACUUCUUCAAAUGAUUCAACAGAUUUGUUGUGUUGCCGGUUUUUGAGGGCACCAACCCUGACAUACCUUACACAUCGGCUUAAUUGCUCGACGUCACUUUGGAGACACCUGAACCACCACCCCACCAGACGUUGAACAACAUUUUUCUCAACAAUGGCAUCUUUGGAGGAUGACUCAAAGUCAUGGCUGACAUCUAUUUUGCUGCCCUCAGCUCUGCGUUUAGCUCCACGUUCUGUCAUUCUGUUUACAUCCCCUGUUUACUUCUCCGGCAACUUACAGAAGUGAGCAGGAAAAGCUUGACUCUGAUUGGCUGUUGUCACGCACAUUUCAGCUAUGUUUGAUCGAGUAAAUAUGUUCACAGCUGAUCACCAUGAUUGGACUGAAAUUUAUCACGAUCAUAUAAUCGCCCAGUCCUACUUCCAGCCACACUCGGCCUGCUUUCUACUACCUAGAUUCCUUGCCUCUCCUGGCUUUCUGAACAAAAUCAACAUGACACAAAAAAUGUGCCAAAUUUAAGCUUUCUGACUAGCUUCACCUAACUGUUAAGCUGUUGUUAAACUUGUCUUUCACUAGCUGGUGGUGCUAGCUCUUCUAUUGUAAUGUUAGAAGUAUAACGCCACCAACAGAAGACAAAUUUGAUGUAGUUCAGCUGCAGACUUUGUGACCUCAUGUUUAGUCACGAUAAACCAUACUCAAGGUUGUUUUUUUCCAGCUAGUUGGGUUUUAAAUUUUGUAAUGGGCAAAGAUGCCAAAAAGAUGAAACUUCUGUUACAAUCAUAUUUAGUUUGGGGUUUAAAGAAAGUCCAGGUUUCUUGUUUCAGAUUGUCGCUUUUCAGUUUUGAAAUGAAGUUAUAAGCAGACUAAACUCUCAGCCUUUUAACUUGAAGUAUCUUCUCUCAUUGGUUCAUUAUCUGGAUUCCAAUCACAUCAUUAUUAUUACUGAGCAAAGGUCAUUAAUAAACUCAGAUUGACAUUUACGCUCAGGUUUUCAGAUAUUGGAUAACAUCUCAAAAUUUUCAAUUAGGCGAGCUAUCUCCUCUCCCUCCUGUGUGUGUGUGUUUUUGUGUAUGUGUGUGUGGUCCCCCUUUGAUCUCAGAUAUUUCUCAGAGAGCUGUCUUCCUUUUAUUGCUCGAGCUUCACUUUAUCAGUUUUCCUUGAAUAUUUCAUGCAACUCCUUCCCUCGUUUUAAACAACUGUGAUUGUUAAGUCACCAGAAAAUCCAGCAACCACAAAUCAGAUCUUUCUUUGAAGUGUAAUUCUCAAUAAUUCAGUGUUUUUGUGUGAGCGACAGUGGAAAGUGAAGUUGCUUGCUUGCUGUUUAAGAUGGAGACAUGAAGUAAGUACUUUCAGGGUGUGAAACAGUAUGUAAUACUGCUGUUAUGAUACAAAAUAGCAACCUUUUGUGGUUUCAGACUUUAAAUUUGAAUUUUUAUGGCCUUUCUGGUGAAAGAAUUCCAUUAGUGGCAUUAAAACAUGUUGUCAAAGGCACUCUAAAAGGAAACGUCUGGAUUAAAGAGGCUUUAAUUUCCUUGUUUGCAACUUCAAGCGAUGAGGGCACUUGGAUCAAAAGUUUCCCGACCUCUUGAAUGUGAAUUAAGCGAGCAGGACAAGCUGUUUUGUUUUUUCUUUGUGGUAAUGGAUCACAGCUCUAAUUGUAUGCAACAGGCCUGCAGUGGGCCAUUAAGCACAAUAAAUUAUUUCUAAAACUAGUUAAAAGAAAUGCAAAAACUUUGACCGUUCCAGCGACAUUUAUGCCUCUCUGUCGGCUGAACAUUAUCAAUUGAGCUUGUUAAAUGCGGGAAACGCAGCCAUUACAAAGAGCAACAGCUGCACGUCCUUAUAUGUAAACUGACACGACUAACGAAAUGGAAUUUUUAAACACCUCGACCAGUCCUCGGAGGACUAAUAACACUGCCUUCCCCCACGGGACACAGAGGACUUAAAUUAUAGGAAGCAGCCCAUACGGGCAGAAGUGACACGGAAACACAUGCAGAAGGAGCUUAUUACCCGUGUUACUGUCAGCGCACGGGCCGAGCUGCCCGUGAUCACAACAGACAUGUUAUACACCACAGCCGUACUACAGGGGCCGCGCCUGAUAAGAGGACUGAUCCAGAGCGGUGAUGAAAACAGACAGGAGGGAUGGGGAGGAAAGGAAAGGAGGAUGGAGGGAAGGAGGGGUGAUGUUAGGACAAAGAGAAGGAAAGGUAGGGGGAAUGAGAGGGUGUAGACAGAAGGAAAUGGUGGUAAAGAUGGAGGUAAAAAGGGGGCGGGAUGGAUGGAGGAGGGAGAGAUGGAGUGAUGGAGGGAUGAGGGCGCUGCCUAUUAUCCUGCAUCGAUUUACUCCAGUCAGGGAUGGCUGGACGCGUAAUGAAGUGUGGGAUCUGGGGGUGUCCGCGUGCGCUCAUCUGCACCUUAUAGCUUUCUGGAUGCAUUGUGGGAUGAUGUGUCACCUCUGUGUGUGGGCGCGCGCGUGUGUGUGUGUGUGUGUGUGUGUGUGUGUGUGUGUGUGUGUGUGUGUGUGUGUGUCACAUGCAGAUGGUGCGAUCUAACCUGCUGUAGUCAAACACAAAAGUAGAUGGAUGUUUUGCUCGAAAGUGUAAUUGAUGGACUGAUUUGUAUUACAAACCCAACCUACAUGUUCAUUACAGUAUUUACACCCCCUGUAGAAAUGUGAUUAGCAUGAAGAUAUUCAUAAUAGUUUUAUAAGCUCAACUCGUAUCAAAACCUCAAAGAAAAUUUUUAAAAACUGAACUUGAAUCAUAAACAUUAAUAAGUGAAAACCCCAGGAGUCCUAUUUUAAAUUCCAAUCGAACACUUUAUCAGCAUCAGGUUGAAUAUCAGCCAAUAAAAACCCUCAUUUUGUAUUCAGGUUGAUCAUUAAAAGGAAUUCCUGACUCUGUAAUCAUGAGCUCCACACCCACAACUGAAUGGGAUCAGCUUUAAGGCAUUUUUGAACAGGAGAAGAGUUGAUCAAGUUCAAGUUUAUGAGCUGGCUUUUGGCUGUUUAAUCAUUUUUCAAAGUUAGAAUGUCUAAAAUUCACCAGCAGCUGUUUCUUUCUUGGAGAAAUUCAGAAUAUUUGAUGGAUUUUCUCAUUUCUUUCGACAGUAAUCUGAGGAUUUUUGGACUCCCAGCUGUUUAUUUUGACGGCAUAUUGAAGUCAGACUUUGGGCUAAAACGCCUGCUACUUUGAGUCAUAUUUCAGUCAUUUUUGCUCUGUAAUUUCUGUCCAGUUUUAAUUGACCAAUUCAAAACAUUUAGUCCAGUUGGUGUUCAUAAAAACUCUUUUCUUUUAGUCAAAAUGUUUUCCCCUGUGAACUCAUUCACUUAGCAGAUGAGGAACUGCUAUCAGGGUCUGACCACGUCUUGAACCUUUGUAAAGCCACAUUUCAAUCUGGUGGCACUUUUUUACUGUAUUAUUCAAUUUCCUUACUUCAGCUAGAUAACCUGAAGCUCAGACUCUCCCUCAGUACAUUGCUACUGUGCCCUCCCUGUUCCCUGCUGAACGGCUAAGGUACAAAAAAAAAAAGUGCAUCACUCACUGAUUAAAGUUACCAGAGAGAGCUGUAGAGCUCAAAGAAACAAAAUACUCUCUCUUUGGCCACUCUUCCUAGACUUCAAAUAGAUAUGCUUUGAAGACGCACACACUAAGACAUAUUUAUAAUGAAAAAGAAAAAGGAUAUAUUGCAAUCAGUUUGUCCUAGUCCCUGCUGCUUCAUGAAACAGAAUUCUGUAUAUGCUCACUAACGUACACCCAACUUUGACAAAGUUAACAGGGGGCAAAACACGACAAAAAACAGUCACCGCAUUGUUGUAUUUUUUAGCGACACAUUAGACACACAGGAGAAACAUUAACAAACCUUCCAUUUUUCAAAAACUGUGAUUCAUAUUUUCAAAGAUUUCCGACAUCUUUCAGAGUCAACUCUUAAUGACACAGUGAAAAUAACAGACGGAUCAAACCAUGACUUUCAAAAUCCAUCAAAUGCAGACGUUUAGAUGGACACGGUACAAAAUGUUCUUGUAUGUAGAAUGUUUUGGUUUAAAUGAGACACAGAGGGAAAAAAAACACAUUCACAGGGGAUGGAAAAGCAUUGAUUUAUGCUUGAAAAAGAGAAGAAGUAGUCCAAUUUAGGCAUCAAACUGUCUUGUACUCUUGCCAUUCUUUUAUACCUCCUUUUAUGGUUCAGUACAUUUUCCUUUUUGCACAGUGUCAGCCAUCCUCUUGAGGUGCACGAAUCAAAACAAAGAGCGUCCACUGCAGACAAUCAAAUUAAAAGAAAAACACCACUUCUCCUCAUGGGGGUUUUGUAUGUAACAUUUAAAUGUUCCCAGAAAAGAACAAAGGGAACACAUUACAGCUGUGAAAUGACAAACAAGCUGUCCUUCUGUCUCCCUGCUUGUUCACUUCUUGCAUCCCCCGUGUUCCCUUUCCUCCUGCAUCCCCUUGUUUCCUUGAUUUCCCUCCCCCGAAGCCCCACACUUGCUUCACCAGUCUAAUCCGCUCCUCGACAUGCUCCCUCUUUGUUCUGUUCCCCUGCUCCGAGGACAGUCCCGGUGUGCUCGGGAUAAUGGAAUGAAUGCCGGAAUGAUAAACCCCCGAGGAUGCCUGGAGAAAACACAGGAGUGUGUCGAGCAGGGUGAUAACACUCUUAUUCUCCCUUGCAUCUGUCGGAGGAGCAGGGAUUAUGGUUUUACAGACAGGCUUUGCCGAUUUGCAGCCCCUUUUCUGCAGGCUGAGGUGUUUACACUGGAAGGUGUCACAGGGCACCAGAGGGAUAUUCUCACAUCUGUCUCGCACAAAGGUCUUCAUUAGUUCGGAGCAUUGCUUCACAUUGCGCAAGCAUAUCUUUGUUGGCAGCUAAUUUAAAGUCACCUUAUCAAAGUUUGCUGUGCUGAACUUAAUUCCUUAAGAAUGAAGUGUGGCAAUAGUUCUAAUCUGUUUUGUCCACUAUAUUAAAAGUAUAGCACGGCUUUGUCAAUGCGAGCAAAUGAAAAUACAGGUCUCCACCCCAAUUUGCAAGAGAACGCAAUCACUGUUAUAUAUUUGGUGUUGUGUCUAAAUCCCAUGCAAUAACAACCAUAAAUGUACCUUUUAAACUGCAAAUUAUUGUAUCAAAAGUUAUUAUGAUAAUUCUUCAGACCCACAAAGCUUUAAGGAUAAUAAAAUCAAAUAUAUAAACAAGAACAUUGCACUAGCAGACAUGUUAAUACAAUAAAUUUACCAGGGGAAACAUAGUUUCCUCAUAUUUGAUAUAAUACAUUAACCUGCUACAACUGUGUAUCAUUCCACAGCUGAAAGUAGACCCAUACAAUUAGGUUUUACUAUUAUUAUCAACAAACUCAUAUUGAAAUGAAGUAUUUUCUUCAACUGUAUGCCCUAAAUAUCUGUCAUGUGUUGUCUGUGCUGUAAUGCAGCUACCCUCCUCUAGCCGGGGCUGUAACACCAGGAAAUUGCUCCCCCAUAAUGUUUCAGUACUCUACAACCUGAAUGUAAACAAGCACAGAGGGCAUGGCACAAAUGAGCAGUAUCAAGAUCUAGAGUUUGAAGAGAAAGUUGUACGUUAACUCUGUCUGGUCAAACUCGCAUUUCACUACUUGACCAGAGCAACGCAAAACCAGACCAAAGGGGCAGGACUAGCUCUGCUAAGGUUAGUCUGUAGACUGUUUAAUAACUGGAGGUAGCAUCAGUGACAGCACCUUUUUUAAAGCAGAGUUUUGAAGCCCAUCAGUGUUAGUCACCAUGUUGGUGAUGCUUACUCAACUUAAUUAAACCAAUAUCUUCCUUUAUCUACAGACUCUGUCACUCUCUUUAGCUGUGUUGGAAUAAGUCAUACACAAUUAGGAUUAAUGGAUUUUUCUUACUUUUAGACUUAACAGGAGUUGAAUUCUUGUUCAAAGACAGAAAUUACUGACUUCACAAAAUCCGUAGGGGAGAGUGGGGUAAGAUGAGCCAUUUUUCAUAUUUCAGAUCACUACAUCAAGGCAAUCAUAGUUUUGUCUCUAACUAGUGUAUCUGCAUAUAUUUCAAGAUGUUGUUCAUCCCUGGAAACCAACAGAAUGAGUGUAAACAGAACUGUCUUGAUAAUACAGCAUGACAAAAAAAAAAGUGGUCUCCUAUGGUCAUCUUACCACGUGUAUGGGGUAAGUUGACUGUAGGAGCGAGGUAAGUUGAGCCGUAUCCCUACUACCCCUGAUCCUCUUAUCAGACUUCUUUAUUUUCUCAGUUUAGCCACUCACUCAACUUACCCCAGAACUACUAUUAUGACUUUAUCAGUCCUCUAAGCUAAAAUGGUGGACUUUUAUGUUUGGUUUUCACCUCAUGUUGUCGCUCAUAGAGACCAGAAUUGAUGUAUAAAACAAUUUUGAAAUGAUCUCUUUUGGUCUAAACACAAUUCUAAUAAAAUUUAUGACAGACUAAAUUCACUUUUAAGAGUGAAAAAUGUUUUUUUGUAAAUAAAUGUCUAACCUCUUCACCCAUGUGCUUCUAACCUUAACAGACUCCAUGAAUUGAUGCCCAUCUCCUAAAUAUUUGGUCACAUGAUCAAUUUCUUUUACCAUUUCCAAGCAACAGGGGGUGGCUCAACUUACCCGUUGGCUCAACUUACCCCAUCUCUCCCAUAUAUAUAUUCGUAGAGACACCCUCGACUGAUCUUUGCACUUUUACUUUAUUUGCCAAACUUGCACCGAAAUACCUUGAACUCAAUAACUGCUUAAGGUGGGUGGGAUUCACCGGACUUUGCAGGGAUUAGCAUGUAUUGAUUUUUAGGGCUUAGGUUGACGUUAAGACCAGUCAGAACUUUUAACCUUUUCAGCGUAGUUUAACACUUUUUAUAGCUGAACUUUUUCAAGAUACUACCUUCUUUCUUGAUUACCGUCAGAGUACUUGUAAGAGAAGAGGAGAUAGGUUUAAACAUUUUUGGACAAAGACCCUAUACAAGGUAAAGAUUUGUUUUACUUCAGCCGCUGCAGACAGUACACUGAAACCAUUUUCUGUAACAGUCGCUCUGGUACAGUCUGGUCGACUCGGUCAUUAUCAGACAUGAAAUAGGAUUCAGAGAAAUCAGAGUACAUCCAAGCUUUGAGUAAGGAUCUUUGGUGCUGUGAGACAGUGAGGUGAGGAAUCAAUAAAAACUGAUUUGUGAGCCUGUUUUGCUGGUUCAAAACAAUUAUCAGACUUUCAGCCUAUUGGUAAAGUUCAUGAGAUGAAACUUGGCCAUUUCCAGAAAGAGUCUGUCUCGUGCUAUUAUGCUGCAGUCCACCUACUCUCGACCCCAAUCUCCCAGAUAUCCACGCUUUCUCCUCCUCGAUCUAACCCUCCACAAAACCUUUUGACUCGACGUCAGCCCGUGUGACAAUCGAACAAUCUUUAAACUGACCUUGACCACACAAAAAAAAUCAAAGACGUGGGGGUGGGGAGCCUGGUAAGAAAACCUCCCACCCUAAAAAUAGAAAAGGUGGCAAUUAAGUGCCAAUCUAAUCAUGCCUCAAGUAAACGAGCCCUGAAGAUUCCGCCCUCAUAUCCCCCAAGGCUCUUUUUUUCCCUCUUCACACCACUUCCUCAUCAUCAUCGCCGGCUAUCGGCUUAAUUACGCCCCCGCCAUCCUCAGAUAAGAGAGUGAUAGCCUUAUCACCACGGCUCAUUUCCAAAUCCAUGAAAUUAAUAAAGUCUACCUCCCUGUCUCAGUUCUGGGGCCAAACUUAUAUGAGCUGUCACGUAGGAGAAGUCAAUGAAGUACUGCUUCGCCUGUUCCCACAGCUGGCGGAGGGAAGCUACCGGAAAUCAUCCUCCAGGAGAUUAAAGACACAGCUUUUUUGUGCUAUACGUAAAUUAUUUGGCCUCUACUUUUUCACUCGGAUGGGGGUUAUGUCCGUGUGUUAGUUUUAUGAUUCAUCUUGUUUCAUUUAUCAUCCGCACAGUAGCCGAAUUGUCCAUUUGGUGCUGUUAGUUACUUAAUUUUCCUUAAUCUCCACCUUGGGAAAUCUGCUAAAUCGCACAGUUUUGUCCCACGCACACUUCAUUGCUUGUGUGUGAAAUAUCAGCGAGCAGGAAUAUGUUGGAGCAAAAGAGCUACCUGGAGGCUGAUCAUAAACUCUCAGCUUGUUAUAAGUGAGUGUGUCUUUAUCUGUGGAUCAUCAAUAAGCCUCUAAUGAAAUAAACCAGAGCCGGAGCUUCUCUCCAGUUGAGUCUAUGAGUUUUCCAGCUCUCCAUGUUGGCUGCUGUAAUCAGUGGGGAGACAGCUGCUUUCACCACGCUGUUCCACCUGCCCGCUCCCCUGAGUAAAGGGCCGUGCUUCGCCGACCAAAUCCACUCCAAGUCUCUCUCUGAGGUCUGCUCCAGCAUGACUGGCAGGGGUCUCACACAUCGAUUCAAGGAAAGAAAAAAAACAGAGAAGGUUGGGCGGACCCGUCAUUGCGCCGACGCUGGCAGCCGAAUGAGACGGGCUCCCACAAGGUUUGGAGCCUGUCAUUUAUUUCUAAACGACGGCAGAUGGUGGGCUUGGCGCUCGCACCAUCCUCUCAAUCUCCCAAGGUGCACUUCUGUGAUGGAUGUGGCGAAUGGGAGCGCUGCAAGAGAAGGCUGAGGCACAUCUGCGCCUGCCGAUAACGGGGGGCAAAGUAUGUCUGGGCUUUUCUAACUGCGGACUAGCUCUCUCAUAUUACGCAUUCCCGCGCAGGCCUCUUGAGGACUCAAAUCUUCCCAAGUUUAUUUGCCUCUCACUUUCAUAGCUUUGCUUUUGGCUGCUCUUAUCAGCAGGACACCUUUCUGUUUACCAUGCAGGUGCACCUUAAGUUUAACACUGCUACCUGGCAGGGAAGUAUAAGAGAUACCCCUUAUGAAAAGCUAUAGCUGGAUGAUUAAUCAUCACACAGUUAUAUUACCUACAACCAUCAUGCAGCCUUUAGGCUCUUCACAAAGUUCACACUUACAGGAGAACUUUAACAGGAAGUUAUCUAGAGCUGCCAACAACUUCAGACAAUCAACUUUUUAUUUAAAAGUGUACUUAAACUUUAUUGGCUUUUCUUCCUAUUAGUACUCUGUCUGAUGAGUUGUCUGUAGGGUCCCUUGUAGAGCCGUAAAACAGUGAAAACACCGUCAUUAUCUGCCUGAGUGUCUCUGCCUGAGCUUACCCACGCUGCAUGAGCUUUAGAGGCUUUGGCAGAGAUAUAGGCUCACAAAUUGUGUGAGUUAAAGUUAUAAAUUUGGGUGAACCGUGUGACUAGCAACAAGAUAAGGCACAAGUUAGCUGUGGUGUCCACCAGAAGUCAUAUAGGCCAGUACUGUGAUGAGGGUGUAAAUUGUGGGGUUUAUGUGAGCUCCUGUGAGAAACCUUUGCUCGAGUUGAUUCUGGCGCCCCCUGUGCACGAAUAAGUUCACCUUGCUGCAGAAGAAAAGACUGUUAAAUAUACUGCAUAAUCCUCCUUUGUAUGACACCUAUCCUGCAGGAGUAUUAAAAAUAACUGCGUAAAAGUUAUCGGUCGUGCUGUUGAUGAUCUUUUUAAUUCAGUCUUUUUCAUAGCCAAUUAAAAAUCUCCUUGCAGGAUCUUUCAAUUGUUUCACUACAAACCUAUAGACAAGUUAAAGCUCCUGUGUGGAGUUUAAGCCGAUCACAAACUGUACUUAUAUUAUAGCUGAUGCCUCUAUAAACUGUAUAAGUUGCAUGACUGUUAGCAACGUGGUGAAUCUCUGUGAUAUUCACAAUCAAAUCAGACUGAGAGCGCCAAGAUGGACAAUGUCGGUGUUGUUGUUCUUACUUGUUGCACUGCAAAUAUUUAUAGUGGAAACGCAACAGGAGGAGAUUUUGUGGCUAACACCAUUUUCACAAGGACGAGAACUUGCACUGUUUGCUCCAAAAGGGGGCGCCAAAUUUGACACAGAAAGUUCCUCAUUGGAGCUUUAAAAACGUAAAAUAAAAAGUGAUUUAGAGAGAGGAACAAAUGUUUAGACUUAAAAAGUUUUGAUUGAGGUUUUUUUAUAGAUGAGAAGGAUCAUUUCCCCACUUUGACUAUCAUGGCCUUCUUCAAUAAACAGAGACCAAUAUUAUACGUAUUACAUGCAGUCACAGUAUACAAAAAUAAGUUAAGAACCUUCAAAUAUGAACAGCUCAACAAAAGAAUAUAGCAAACACAUAACCAAAGGAGCAUCAGACAGGGGAAUAAGGUUACUGAGUCAUAAGAGAAUAUUUACCAUAGUCCUCCUGGCUGAAUCAGCUCGUAUUUGAUCAGUUAGUAAGGGUUCUUGGACAAGAAGAGGUUAUAAAUGUGGGCAAGAAAGAACAUUUUUGUGUUAUAUUUGAAAAAGGGGCGCCGAGGAUGGAGCUUUGUCAUUUUUAAAGGAGCAUUAGUGCAGAAUUUACAGUGUCUCAAACUUCUUUCGUACUUUUAUUGAAAUAUUUGGGUUCAGUUUCAACCUCCUGGCUCCCUGAAGAUCCACUGUCUCCUUCUUUCACUAGAGCUGUUGACAAACACACCCCUGUGUCCCACACACCCUCUGACACAGUAGAUUCAAAGACACAUUAAAGUGAGCAAUCGCCGCCUAACAACACCCUUGCAAAGGUCACGUCAGCUUCAUCAUCCUAAUCAUCGAACACCAUCGCUUCCUGUGAUUUAGGGUUGCAGUAAAAGCAUCACAACCCACCCAGCCACAUCCCUGCCCAUAAACGUAUCCAUGGCAACAGGGACGUCGAGCUGCCCUUCCGCCGAUGCAUCUUUGGGAUUCUCUGUGCGUCGCUGCAGGGUGACGAGUCAGGCGUAAAGAGUCGAUUUAGCUGCGGCAUUGGGGAGGCUCGCACAUUAGCAGAGAGGAAAUAGGAGCCAGCAAAUACUUAGUGGGUGAUUGGCUCCGCAAUAACAGAACACCCCCUUUGGCAGCUCGUCAAGCGCUGCUAUACGGAUGCCAUUACAAACAGGGGGCCAUUAGCAGGCGAGUGAGGCUUUGUGAGGCAUGUCGCUGCACGUCCUCAACCCCCAGGGCUGCUUUUUAAAGAUGUGUAUGAUCAGCUGUAUGCCCAUCAUCCUGCGUGUUUACGAAGGAGAGUUGGCAUUUGGAAAACAUCAGAAUUUCAUCCAACUGAAGCUCUUUCUAUAAGAAAAAUACAUGUAACACGGUAAAACAUGUUGUAGCAGUCCCUCCUAUAAGGCCUCGUUACACCAAUCCCCAUUGCAAAAAGAAGCAAUUUAGGUCAAACAUGGGACACAGCAUAUAUACAGAGCCUCAGAGGAUGAGACCCAGAUCUAGCUCAGAAAUAAAACCUUUAUGUUGGCUGAGAAUUUUAAACUGCUCUUUCAUUUCACAUGUUGUUAAUAUUACGGUUUAUUAGCCCCCAAUAGCAGCUAUUUCAGAUGAAGAUUUUGAACCUCCUUUUUGCUUUAGGCAGCACCGUAAACUUGAGCUGCAUUACAAUGUGACUCCCUCACUUUAGGAAAAAAAAAAAGCUUUGUGAUUUUUAUGCCUCACACAGAGCCGAGAAGCUCUGUAUAUGUAAGUUUGCUGGAUCUGCACAGAAGCGCUAUUAAUAUGCAGUAAAAUGAAACUGAACCAGCGGUGGGAUGAAUAUUUUAUCAGCUAAGAGUGCAGAGAUGCCUCUCUCCGUAUUUCUUCUUCUUGUGGGGUGAAAAGCCUGUCAAAUGUAAUCUAGAGGUUGUAAUUUUGGAAGUAAAAUGAACAGAAAACGCCUGCGGUCAUUUUACAGACAACAGAUUUUUAAGUGGUCAGAAGAGCCUGUUGAUGCUGAUUCCCCAUUCUCCCAGAUUAACUAAUCACUUCUGUAAUUUUAUGAACGAGAACAUGUUUUUGUCCACUGAAAUGAUAAACAGCUGCAAUGGUGUGAACGAAAUAACUAAUCAGACCAUCGCCAAGCUGAUGGAGUCAAAGCACAUUCCCAGAAUAAUGGUGAUAUUUUCCUGAAUACAAUACCCUGCAUAAACAGAAUCUGAUUGUAAAUUCAAAUAAGAUGCAAAUAAAUAAGGGAAGGGGGAUAUUGAAGCACAUUUCUUUCUGUUGCACAGUUCUGAUCGGUUUGUGCUUCAGUGCACCAUCAAAUGAAAAAGAGGAAGAAUCCUUCUCAGCUCCAGUUUGUAUCUGACGUACAGUAUUUUACAUGCCGACUUCAUACCUUUUGAAUAAUAAGGGGGAACGUCUGUGCACAAGAAAGGCUUCUCAAGCUUCUUGCCAGAGCCAGAACACUCAGACUCGCUCUCAGUGCAUGAGGAAAUACAAAAAAGCACAAUGCACAUUGUGUGCAAGUAAAAAAUAUAAAAGAACACAUCCUUCCCUCUUCUACUGUGUCUGAGGUGUAAAGGCUCACAUUUUUAUAUUGAACCAUUUGAGUACAGUGCUUCCAAUUCAGAGAAUUAGAUACAUACCAAAAUGGUUUGGUAAAAAAUUAAGUUUUUUAAAUCCAAGGUCUUCCUAAAGACCAGAAACAGGAGUGCACCACACCUAUAGCCUGCUUGUGUAGCUCGUCAUCCAGGCUGUUGGUUUCAGUUCAGUUAGCAUGCACAGUCCAGUUUAGCUAAUGUUUUUAACUCAAUUAAGCGAUUUAUCCUGACUCCUUGUCCCACUUUACAAACAUUGGGCAAGAAACAAAUCAUUGAUGGAAGCACGUCUUCCUUCGUUACAGUAGGUGGCGACAUGCCCCAUUUCAGCUCAGUACCACCGGGUUAUUUUCUGGUUGAUAAACAAGCAACAAGCAAGUGGCUAACAAGAUGUACAUUAAGUGAUCAAAAUACUGUCACUUUUGCAGUCCUAAACCUUUAAGACUCACACUAGGGUGACUAUAUGUCCUCUUUUACCUGGAUAUGUCCUCUUUUUGGGGGGCUGUCCGGCUUUGUCCAAGGGAAGUUUGUAAAAUCCUUCAAAUGUCCACGGUUUUGUACGUAAGUUUCAAUUUCGUGUCUCGUGGACUUACUGAGUUAGAACUACAUAAAAGACACUCGAUCUGACCCGAAAAACUCUCUAAACUAAUUUUGUGCGACUCUGUGACUCCGCCCCCAAGUAGUUGUGUCGUCUUUUUCGGAAGUCAGAAUAUGGUCACCCUAAAAAACACAUUUACAUAGAUUUUAAAAGUCAAAUAUGAUGCAAUGAAUAGAUUUUUUUUAACACGCUAACGUGAGUGACUUUCUUAACGACUCACCUCCCAACAAACUGAUUUUUUAUGAGUUUUCACCUGUGAUCAGUUUUGUGAUGUAUACUAAGACAGCGGUUUCUGGUUAUCCUCAGUGUGUCUUUUACAGUGAGUGCAGGAGAGGCUGAACGAAACGUGCUCAUGAAAAGAUGGCAUCAUUCUUAUAAAUUAUAGGAACAUCUUUGACCUCUAGCUCAAAACUAAUCUAAAGUGGUGCAUCGUUAGAAACUCUGUCAUAAAGUCUUGAUCCUAAAGCUUAUAUUCAGCAUUGUAAAUCGUGAUACAUUGUGUUCUUAAAUGUGCAUAUGUGUGUGUUUGUCAACCUGUCCCUGCAGAGCUCCAAUGUGCAGACAGCAGAGGAACAGGCGAUAACAGCCACAGCCAUAUGAGUGACACAGUCGAGUUUAGCAUAGUAGUUUUUUAGUUACUGAUUUUUUUCACUUGAUAUGACCAUAAUGGCACAAAUAUUUAUCAAUUAGGUGGCACUCGAUUUACUUGCCAAACUGAAAAUUGCCAUGCACUUGGAGCUUGGCGGGGAUUGGAAUCUGCUGCACUUUUUAUUUUUUAUUCUAUUUUAUUUCUUUUGUGUUAACUUUUCUGAUUGUGCUUUAAUUGAAAUGUUAUCAAAAGUAAAUAUGAGCAGGUCCACAACCCUUGAUCUGUCACAGCUUAGGUUGUGAAAUACGGCCAUCCCGGGCGAGUGCCAGUCUCUCUCCAGUCGAGAAUAUACUCUUGUCUUGGCAGAAAAGACUGAACUAUCUUUUUUCUUUAAUAUUUUGGGGAUUUUAGGUGUCCAUAAUGUAUUUUUUAUCAUUUAAUUAAACUGUUGCCCUGAAAUAACCAAACUGUGAUGGUUUGACAACAAUCCAACAGUCCCAAAAUUUUAAUAAAUGUGUCAACGAUCAAAAGUUUUUUAAUCUAAGUGGGCUUUGCUUGUCAAACAUGACAAAAUUAAGUCCUUAACUUUAACAGAUUUUCUUCCCAAACUUUUGCCCACAGACCAAGCAACCAUAUUUGUUGAUUUGGGAGUGUGAAUGUGUUGUUCGCAACUGCCUCUGAGGCUCAUGGGUUGUAUAGUCUUUAGAGCUAUAUUGUCUGCUGAACUGGGAGAGGAAACAUAAAUUGAGUUGAAAUAGCUGCAGCAGAACAUUACAAUAAAAAUUCAGACCGGAGGACAAACUGAAGCUCUCCAACUUUGCAAUUCUAUUGCCUGCUAUCUGCGCUGCAUUCACUGUCCGUUUGACAUCUCAGUGAAUAAGUGUGUCUCUCCCUCCAGUAAGGUCCUGGGUAGCAAAACCUCUGGUAAAGCAUGGGCUACACACAAUGCCUUCUGGGACCUCUGUGCUAAAAAUGCAUUCAUGAUAGAGCCUCAUGAUUUGGAUGAAAACGUCCGGAAAAUAGUGUGUGUUAUGUUAAAUUAGCCGCCUGCCCUGCUUGGUCCAGCUGUGUGCACUUCAAUCGUCUCCUCUACCACCCAUGAGGUGGUGUAUGAACCCCCCUAGGAGGGUUUUUUUUUUUUUUUCACUUUCACAGUCCUGCAGGCACCCUUGCUGACUGACAUCUCAUUAGGAGAGCGGGGCGCCGUGCUCGUGCUCGCUCACCGCCAGACAGACCACGCCACAGGCUGCAUGCUAAUUGCAGAGGCGUAGUCGGCAUGAGACGACCUUGUAUGGAUGAAAAAAAAAGGAACGUAGGCAGGGAAGUGGUUGUGUUUAGCGUCUGGUGGGCAGGGGGGCUCUGCUCCGCAAACCGCUUUAGUCCCGACCUUGGGCGGGAAUGUCAGCCAAGUCUGACCACUCACUGAAGGAAGAUCAAAAUUUGAAAGCCUCAUUAAAAUAACAUAAGCAGAGCCCUGUGCUAUACAGAGUAAGCCCUUUAUUUAUCACACUAUGUUAUAUAACAGUCUGUAAUGAGUAAAGCAUCACAGUGAGUGACAUUAAUUUGCUGCUUAUCAUAAAUUUACUACAAUUUCAAAGCUUGUUCUCUUGCUUGACAACUCAUUAGGUUCAAAGCCUUAAGAAAAAGUCUGACUAAAAACACACCCUGGCAGUAAUUUAGCACAUCUUGGUUGUAGUUUAUACACUUUCACCUCUUGUGACAUUAAUUUAAAAUGCGCCUCAGAUAAGUUACAGUUUUAUGGUCAGGUCAUCCUCACAAAGGACGUGUUAAUUCUAUCAGCAUAAGCUUUUUCAUAAACUCUGAAUCAUAAUGCAGAUAAUAGACAAUCCUUUCUUUUUUCACUAAGCUGCUUUAUAUGUCAUUUUUACCAUAUGUACUAUUAUAAGGGUGUAAUGAUUUGGUCAACUGACAAUACGAUACAAUACUAUAUGAUGCAACACAACAUAGCACGAUACAGUUUGAUACAUUACAAAGCAAUAUGAUAGUGUAUGAUAUGAUACAAUACAAUACAGUAUGAUACAAACUGAUACAUGGCAUAAAAAAUGCAGUACAAUAUAAUAUGACACAAUAAGAUUUGAUACAGUGGGGAAUGUAACAAAACAACAUGCAAUACAAUAGGAUAGGACACAACACGACAUGAUGUGAUACAAUACGAUACAAAAUGUAACAAAACGAUAACUUAUGAUACAAUAUGAUACCGUAAAAUAGAAUACGGGAUUAAAUGACAUGAUACAAUGUAAUGCGGAGUGAUAGGGUACAAAAAAAAUGAUAAUACACAAUUCAAUACGACACAACACAACAAGGAUACAAUACAACGUGAAAGGACAUGAUGCAAUGUAAUACAAUCAUUUUAAAUUUAAAACAGUUCAGUGGGAUAUUAUGUACAUGUUUUAAGAUAUUUGAUGUAAGAUAUAAUAUCACUUGAUGCAAUUUAAAAUGAUAGAAGAGGAUAUAAUGGGAUAUGAUACAAUACAUACACUGCGAUACAACAUGAUAUAAUAGUAUUACAAGCCACAAUGACAUGUUUAUUAUCCUUGUUUUUAAACCAUCAAUUAAUUGUGUAGAUAGUCUUGUUUAAGUUCAAGCUUUAGUCGUGGUAUUUGUGUUGCUUUUGUUGGGACAAUUUUAUUGUCGUACGUCUAUUGCCUACUCUGAUGGCAAAAAAAACUUAAUUUUAAAAGAAAGUGAAAAGCCACUUCUACAACAUCAUGAAGUAACAGAUGUGCAAGAAAGGGGCUAAGAAAACAAUCAACAAUAAGAAAUAUUUGCUGUAUUUUUGCACUUAAAAUGUUCUGUUUGUUGAUGAUGUUUCCAAUGUCCUCUUUCUUGCUCUGUUAAGAUAAGUCCGCUUUGCUGUUUAAAAAAGGGUCGUUUGUCAUCUUUCAACUUCAAAUGAGUUUUCACAUGUACCCAUUUUCAGCUGCUCGCCUUUAGCAAAUCGAGAGAAAUAGAGAAAGAAAUACCUCUUUUGAACAGGCAGAUACAAUAUGUGAAGACAGAUUCACUGGUGGACAGCCGUCUGCUGCAUCUGUGGAAAAACAGGACUAGAGGAGAGCGGCAGAAAGUGUGGGCAUCCUGUCUGAUCGUUCUCUUGACUUGUGUAUUUCAAAGUCUGGCCCCCGUCUGGCUUUAUCUGUAAUUUCAUCAUAACCUCUCCAGUCCAAUAACAUGACCUUUUUUGGCAGAGCGCUCACAUCUGACAGGUUUUUCUCAAGCAGCUAAACUGGAAAAGUCCUGCAGAUUAAAUUCCAAUCAAUGACAGAGCACAUAAACAGCGGGAUGUAGAGAGAAAAGGACAGAAAGGUUCUCCAAAAAGGUCAAAAGUGGCCCACACAGUUUAAGCAGUAAAAGUGAUAGGUGCCCUGUCACAGGAAACAAAGCUUUUGUGUCUUUCUCAUUGCCGAAACUUAAUUUAGUUCCUUCCAGUAAAGGAUAUAAAGCCUGCAUUGUGUGGUAGAGCGAGAGACUUUGACACACACUGAGAGAGAGAGGGAGAGGCUGUGGAGUUCUGUCUGUUUUAGUGCCAUUAGUUCCUCCCUGCCACUCAUUGAUAAAGAGGCGCUGCCAUCAGCCAAACCAGCCAUCUCCUUCAGUCCUCAUUAAAAUGUCGUCAUAUUAAAAAAUAAUUUCAGGGCCUUUGCUGAUGAGCGUUUUAUUGCCUUCAUGAAAAUGUUCUCACUUCAGAGUCGACGGGAGAAAGAAAAGCUUCAAUGAGUAAUGAAAGCGGGGAGGGAGAGGAAGAGGAAGGACAGAGGAGAUAAGGGUGAUUGGUUGUAUACUUGGGAGGACCGUUUCGAUAUUUAGACGAUUAAUAAUUUCUUUCUUUAGCUGCCUGACAUAAACAUGCUUUCUUACACAAGCCAGGAGAAAAUGAGGCUUUAUCUUGUUCAGUGACCUGAAAAUGAGAUUACUUUAUCUGUAUUAUUUGCCACUAUAAGAGACAUUCAAUGUCAACAGAGAGUGUUAGUUUUAGAGUGAAGAGCAAAAAUAUAAGGACUGAUAUCCCCUUAGAUUACAUCAGACUAGAAACUUACUUUAAGUACUUCAUAAAUUUUUUCAACAUAAAAGCACACAAUAUCACCAUGUCAUCAUGAUAACAUAUUUUCUGACAUCUCUUUAUUUUACUGUGAUAACCCUGAUUAUGCCUUUACUUUAGUCUGUAUAAUAAUGAUGGAUGACAUGACAUCCCUUGAUAGUGAAGCCAAAAUAUUUAGAGCUCCCUCUACUGACUAACUGCAGUAUGAGUUGUAGACUGCCUUCUCCAUGGUAACGGUAGGAAAAUGGUCAGACUUUAAAAUCAAAGCACUAAAGGCUGAUUUUUUUUGUUUCGGUCAUAGUUAGUCAUAGUAUUCAUCUAAGAACUUAAGCUCAAAGAUGCUGUUUGGGUGCUAUAAUAAAUAGAUGGAAAGCCAUACUUGACUGUUCUGUUGACAAAUGCAGCAAAAAAAAAAAACGCAAAGACAAAUUUUAGAGUAAAAGACAAAUAAGGGAUAUAUCAUAACUUCUUUAGCAUGCAGGCUUCACUCUUGUACAACUGAAGGCGUAGGAGACUCACCAUCAAUCAUAACAUAAAGACUAUGAGUCUUGUUAAAGCUUUUUUAUCAAACAUUUGUGCCUCCAUUAGAUAAAACAGGCAAAGAGCUGUAGUCUCUGUAUAUGGGACACAAACAGGCGCCUCUAUUCAUUGUAAUGAUAUAUUAUUAUAAUAAAGCUCUCAUGGUGUAAAAUGAAACUGUAUCUCAUUAAAGCUCCUGUGAGGAGUUUUAAGCUGGUCAUAAAUCAGACUAGUAUUAAUACAGAUGUCUUUAUGUGACCUACAAAAGCAAACAAGAACGUCAGCAACAAGAUUGAUUAUUUCUACAUUUUUAUUUUUUUUGCCUUAAAGUGCUGCUGCUGCGGUGAAGGUGUCAGACUAAGUGCUGCAGAAACAGCUCGUUGAAGAAAACAGUUGUUUGUGUUUCCCGCAGCAAAGAUUCUUGAUGAGUGUAAAAUUUGUAAACAGGGUGGGAUUUUUUUGAAAGAUAAAGGAGCAUGUAUGUGUACAGGACAAGAUCAGCAAAGACUUAUAGCUUUGUCUUAAAGUGAAACCAAACCAAGAGUGGUCCACUGAUAGCCCAUGUCAAUGCUGAUUAACAAGAGAGCAAGUACGCAAGUAUCACAUUGUUGUUGUUGUUUUUGUUUUGUUUUUUCUUUGAAUUUGUUCAGAAACAAGAUUUUAGUAAUUUGACCGAUCAAAACCAAAAUUUUAGAGUUUGGACAAACAAUUUAUUUAAUAAAUACUGGCAGAAAAAUGUUGGUCUGAGUAGAAUACCGCCACAAGGAAGUUAUGGACUUCUUUCAAAUUAUCGGUAAUAAUUAAUACACUUUCAGUAUGUGUCAGUUUUGGCGCCCCCUGUGGACAAAGGAGUCUUUCCUUAUCUUGUCCGGUGAUAUUUUUUUCCAUAGGAUGGCAAAGUCCCGCCUCCUUAGCCUUUGAUUGGCUAGAAAUGUCACCACACGCUGUACAGAGCCAAACGUGGGAUGUCGGCUCUGUACAGCGAACAGAACAUUACAGAACCUCAGCUUAAUCCUAACCCUAACUCUUACCCUAACCCUAACCCGACAGACGAUGACGUUUCACAGCCAUUAGGAAUAACCAAUCGGAGCCCAGCUCUUCUAGCCAAUCAGAGGCGAAUCCCCUACCAUCCUACAAAAAAAAAAAUUUUGCGUCCUCCAACAUGCUUCAAACUUAUUUUUGCUAAGAAAAAAAAAAAAGUCAUCCUUUUACAUUUUUCAUUUUCUUAUACCUUUAGAUUGCUCACAAGUUGCUUUCAACUUCAACAAAAGAAAGAAACAAACAAACAUGGAUUUAAUUUUCUACUUGGUCCAAAAAUGCUUCAAAAAGCACUAUUUUAUCAUUGGGACCCAUGAAAUGUAAAAAACAAUCAUCUAAUGUCUACUUGCACUUGGAAAAACACAGCAGAGGGCUGAAAAGGAGUGAAAGGGUUUAUGCGUAGGAAGUCUUACACAUGCAGACCUUGAAAGUAACAUCAUGAAAGCGGUUAACGACACGCAAAGUGAAGUUUCGAUAGCUGCACGAAUACAGCUCAAUACAACCCCAGAAAAGAAAAGUCUCCACAUUGCAGCAUACAUGUUUGAUAAAACAGACAUUGAUCUAUCCUCCUGUGUGUUUCAGUCAUCUUUUCAUCAUUUCCAUUUUGCUGAUUUGUCAUUCCGAUAAUGAAAAAUGAAACAACAGCAUGCAUACAUAACAUUUGCAGUAAAAGCUGAAGAGAAAACUGAUGAUGUGAAGUGCGUAUGCUCCUGCUUCACAUCCAUCCGGGAUGUAAAUUUAAUGCCACCAUAUGCUGAUGUUUUCAGGCGGCAGCGUUGAUUAAGUGACUCUGUUGUGUUUGAUGAAGAAGUAGAAGUUUUGCACCAUUUGUUAUCUUGCAGUGCACUAUCUCUCUCUCUCUCUCUGUCUCUCUUUCUUGUCCGGAUAAUCGAGUUUCUAUUCAAAAGGGAGCACAAAUAAUAUUAGCACAGUGUAGAUUCUGUGUUAUUUCCCUGAGCUGUGUGUUUUCCUUAUGAGAUAUUUUAAUUGUAAAUAGAAACUCAAUCUAUUAAUGCGGGAAAAUGUGAAUUAAGAGAGGAAAUUAAAAUACACAUGAGCAGACUGAGCACACAAACGCACCGUUCCUAUGAGUACAUUAAUGUCCCAGCUGAAUAUACACAUAACUACUUGAUUGGCCUCCAGGGAUGUAAUAUCUACGCUUUAAUUUCAGAUAGCAAGUAAGCAUAUCCUGUUACAAGCCAUUACAAGAGUCUAAUGCCAGGCGCUGUGUUUGUUAUGCUCUCAUUUUAUAUCCUCGCUUCUUAGGAUUUGGCUCUGUUUGAGAUGAGAUGAAAAGAUUUCUGCUAUUUGGGUUACAGCGAGAGUUUCUUGUCUUGCAAAAUUUACUCGCAUAAUUAAAAAUAAUCAGUUAAAAAUAUCUCCAGUGCUUAUUUAAUGUCUCCAAAGUAGGAGAAAGAAAGUUUUAGAGGCAUAAAGUGGAUGAAAUUAAUUGCACAGAGUGUAAUAAUCUAUUUUUGGAUGUUUUUUUGCACCACUGUGGCUGCUGGACAGAAGCAUUCGUUUCCUGCCCUGCAUGGCUCUGGGCUCAUUCUCUCACCAGUCAAAUUGUUGCUUGUGGCUCAGAGUUUCAGGCUUGUAAUACAGACAGAAGGUGCCAAACCAGUGUAAGGUCAUUACUCAUCCUGCUGCAUACUGAGAGUUGGGCAGAAUUAGAAAGCGAGCUGAAAUGUGCCAGUCAGGACACGCCAAGGGGUGUGGGUGGAACUCAGACUGUUUCAGUCUGGUAAGAAAAAAAUACCAAAAGCAACAAAGUGUGGAUGUUUUAAAAACUUUGAGACAUUUACAGCCAACUGAAUGUGGUUAUUUUGUGUAAUUUAGUCUAAUGUGCAACUAAAACACCAUCAAUUUGUUUCAAUGAAGGGGGUCAAGUAGGAAGAAAAGGACUCAACCCACAGGUUUUCAUUCAAAAUGUGUGCAUUUCUCUCCUUUUAUCAGAAGUUUUUGGAGGUCUUUUUGACUUAGACAUACAUGAAUGACCAACUCUACCAAAAGGAACCAGUGCUGGGGGUUUAGCUUCAAAACGACAGCAUUAUACUGUGACGGUCUGACUAACAAACAGAAACUCUCAACAGUUAAGCUCAAUCAACGUUGUUUUCUGCUCAUUCAGUUUAAUCUAAAUGUAAAACAACUUUGCUGUUCAAUUUGCAAGAGGUUUUGGACAGAACGUAGGGACAAAACAGUUUAUGCUUAAGAGGUAGUCAAGAGUCCCAUCACUCCAGUCCAGACAAAUGGAAAGUCAAUGAAAACUUGUCCACUUCUAUUCAACUACUACGAUCAUCAGAAUACUUACAACCGACAGAGACAUCUUACUCUGUCCACCAGUCAGUUUAGAGCGGAGGAAGACUUCAGAGAAGAAGAGGGGAAGCAUUUUUAAGAACUUUAACUGUCACUAAGUUUAGAUGCUUUAAAAAAAGAUUUUUUUUUCCUUAGUCUGACUGAAACUGGAUUUUGAAAAAGCAAUUUUCUCUGUCAUGUUUAUGGCUCAAUCGAGCUGAAACUGGCUGAAGCUGUCUGCAUACGCCCCAGUGUUGAUCCUAAAGUUGAAUAUCAUGAAUAUGUCGCUAGGACGCCAGGUAGUAAACAAAAUCUCGUCAGAUAAAGAAAGGAUGUAAAAAAGAUAAGACUUUCCCCAGCAUACAAAAAAAGCAUAAUGCUGUAAAAGUGACUGUGUUUCCUGUUAGCCUCUUGCUUGCCUGGUGCUUAUUAAGUGGGACAAAGACAGUAGUCCAGUGAAAUCAUCUAAUUGUGCUAUGACUGUGGCUCGACUUACCGAGCAUGUAAACUUCCUGAAUGUCUCAUUACCCUUUUAGAUUGAGCUUUGCAAACUGAGUUUUGGUAUUUUGUCCAAACGUCUGUAGGUCUCUGCCUCUGCAGCCACUGUAUUUGCACAAUAACAAUUGAACGCCAUACCAAUAAAAAACAAGUGAUAUUGAUUCCUAUUUGGAUACCAUGGCAACAAAAAUAAACUCCAGGGCAUCCAUAGAUGGGUAUCUGUUGCUUUUUUAUUACCUUAUUUGCAAACUUCUGCGAAGUGCUGAACCAAGCCGGUGCAGAGAAAUCAAUGAACAGAGACUAAAAUUGAGAAACAGGUAAAUAAGAUCUUAAAUUUCUCUUUCAGUGCUUUGCUUCCAUUAUCAAUGCUCGCCUUGUUUUAGCACGGUGUAACUCAGCUUCUCUCUCUCUCUCUUUCUCACUUGCAGCAAGAAUUUUUCAUGAUACUAUGUCAUGUACAAAUAAUGCGGAUUGUAUUAUUUACAGUUUGACAAAUUAGCUCAUCAAAAAUGUUGACGAACACUGACUCCACACACCAAAGUUUUCAGAGGUUUCUAAGGACAACAAGCAAAAGGCACCAAAGCAUGAGUUUAAAACUCUGGAGAAUAUAAAUGAAAAGCUGGACAGACAAAGGCACUUCUGAGUUACAGGAUGUCACCAUCUUGGUUUCAACUUGUCCCACUAAAGAACACUUCUGGCCCAAGUGAAUUUUAGAGGUGGGGGUGACAUGAUCAAGUUUGAGGAAAAGGAGCCAAUGGUUUCCAACUAACUGCAUUAGUAAUGAAAGAUUUUUUUCUGCUUCCCGUUACCGAGUUGUCUUGACUAAACUUCACCCAUAGUGAUGUCAAAACUUUGUAUUUUUCUCUUGCUGUAGAUGGAAAGUAAAAGAACCAAAUUAGGCAGCACAAAAUGUAGAAAGUAAUGGAAGUAAAUCAACCUGAAACUUGGAGUUACUGUGCUUCAUUUCCACUGCUAACACGAGAACUACUUUCUUAACUACCAGGGAAGUGGAAGGAUAUCUAAGAAAGUGAAGAUGUCCUGAAUCCACCUUAAAAGCAGGUUUUUUUUUGCCUGUAAUGCAGCGUGAUAAAUAUUGCGUUCCAGGGGGAUGAUGUUCAUUUGUGACAUCCUCAUUUCAUAUUCUCACCAGUUGGGCAUCGGCUCAGAUUUGAGGUGUAAUAUGGGCCUGCCAAAUCAGCGGUAGCCCCAUUACUCAUCCCCCUCUGCGCUGUCUCCUGGCUCGUGCUCCGGCGCUAAUGCAGAUUACAGGGAUAUAUGAGGGCUAUUUUGUUCGCUGCAGGGUGGAAACGAUCACAGGCAACCCCAUCCCUCUCUGAUGCACGCCUCUACAUCUGUUCCCCCCCUACGUAAGCCUAUCUAGAGAUCCAUCAGAGCCCCCCCUCAUGCCCUUAUCGGAUCUGAGGCUGCCUAAUCUAUCGCUCAUCAAUUAUAGAUGCUAUGUGUAAAAAAUUGGGUCACUAUAUCAACCGCACUGUGGAUCCUCAGAGACAUUGUUUGCUAAAGUGAUUAGUGGCUUUAGUUUAGAUACAGUUUGUGUGCUUUAUAAGUGUUUAAUGGUCCAUUUAUGAUACAUGAGAAUGGACUGAGGAGGAAUAAUGCGUAACAAACAUUUAUUUUCUACGAUAAUGAUAGUGUGGUUCAAACUUUAUUUGUGUACAGAGACAAGCAAAGUUGAGCAAAUUACUCAGAAAAAUCCAGACUUUUUAUGAUCUCAGUGGGAUUUUGCAGGUGGAAAUCCACACAGGUGCCAACCCCUAUAAUCGAUAAAGCAAUUUUUUUUCUCCGCUGCAAGACAAUCCAACGUGAUUAACGGGCUCGAGGUCCCAUAUUAGCACUCGAAAACCCCUCACAACUUCAAUUCAUUUCCAACUUGCUCCCUGGCAGAGAAUCACAGACGUAUUAUUCAAAUAUCUAAUCUAUUUCAUGACCAAGACACGUCCAAAAAAAACCCACGCAUUUAAUCUUUAUGCAAGUCUCUCCUCAUGUGUUGGGUAAAUAGACCAUUCAUCAUAUUAUUGGGCUUUUUACAGCUUGACUGUUUGAGCGAUCUGUCUCUCAAACUGCCUCUCUCCCCGGCAGCCCCAUCAAUCACUUUUCAAUGAAGAUGUCACAGCUCAUUGUGUGGAGAGUUAUCCCAAACAGUUUUAGAUGACAAAUUAAAAGCGAAACUUUUCUUUUUUUUUUUGUCCAUGAAGAUGGUCAGAUCCUCUCUCCAAAAUCAUGCGCAUACACGUGCCGGCAGCCAUAUGCCUCACUUAGGUUUUUCCACCUACUGUCAACAAUUUUCACCUCAGCGGAGAUGUUAGCAGGUGCAGGAAUUUGCUCACUAUUAACUUUUCAUUAGGCAAAGUAAACCGCACAAGUCAUCACAUGUAGACGCUGCUCAACGUGGGACAUAAUUGGUGCAAGGUUAAUGGCCAAAUUAAGUAGCAUGUCAGUAAAAUCUCAGUGUGAGCUCUUUUUAAGGAGGAGGAAAACUUUUUUAAAGACUGACAUCUCUCAGAAGAUUGACAGCUGAAGUUUCUGCCAGAGUUUGUUUGUUAUCGGUCUGCAAACAAAAGAUAAUCAUCCUUAAUUCAAUAAUAAAGCCAUCAGAUCGACUCAUUAAAUAACCAAACAGCCACAGCAUUGGUUGAAUUCUUAUUAUGUCUCUGAAAUUACCUCACGUCUCUUUCUCUCUCUCUCUCUUUCUCCUGUUUUUGUUGCAGGAUCUUUGCAGGAGUUGAUGCCCAGAGCGGCGGCGGCAGGAGUCAAAGCGUUACCUCGACUGACGCAGGAGUGUGUUUCAAAGCGCAGACGAAAGAUUCAGGGAAUCACAUUUGAUCCCACACGCGCUUGCAUGAUUGCUUGCUCAUCACACUUCCCUCUAAAAAUCCCUCCUUCAUUACUUUCCUUCUCGACAAGCUUCUGCAUAGUGCUGAGUCAUCGAAUCAGAAGGUAGGCUUCGGAAAAUGAGCUGCUUAGUCUGAUCAUUGCAGGGGAGAUUACCGAAUAAAAUGGUGUAAGAAGCAAUGAAGUGAUGGAAAAAAUAUCAUAGCAACAAAACAAUCGUACUGUCAGAAAAGCACAAAAGCAUCUUGAUAAUCAGGUGUCAGCUGCAAAGGGCUUAUUUUGCUGAAGGUAAAUUAACACAUACACUGUGUACUAGGUCCCGACCGAUUAUCGGCGAGCCAAUUAAAUUGGCCAAUUUUAGCCCAUUUGAGACUAAUCGUAAUUGGCCAAAACUCGCUGAUUUUUGCAGAUAUUUUCAGAAAUAAAAUGCAGAGAAUAAGAUUUGGUUUCACUUCAAAAAUGUUCCGCCAUUUGAAAAGUUCCCGACUUAUCCUGUAGAUGGUGCAGUGACCUCAUGACCAUCUUCAUCCACUAACUACCUCACAGCACAGAAGAAUGACGGAUCUGAAGCAGGCAGCUCAGGGACGCACGGAGGAGAGUGGUCCGCCUCAACGGUAAAUAAACCAGCUUGUGAAAUACACAAUAGUUAGUUACUCACCUGCUAUUAGCCUUGCUACACUGUUAGCCGUGCCAGUAACAAUAGAAUAAACGACGGUACACAUUACGUGAUCGAGCUACUUCUCUUACUGAGGCAGCUGUAUGACUCCAGAUGAGACCGGACCGGAAAUGAGUAACGUGAGUUAAGACGC